CUUGGACAACAACAUGGAUGGAUUCUACAUUGCCCCAGCUUUCAUGGACAAGCUUGUUGUUCACAUCACCAAGAACUUCAUGACCCUUCCUAACAUUAAGGUCUGUAUGUCACCUAUAACAUAUCUAGUGAAAUCUUUUUUUUUUUAAUAAAAUAGCAUUAAAUUUACCAAAUUUUACUACAAUUGUUUCUAUUACAGGUUCCUCUUAUCUUGGGUGUUUGGGGAGGCAAAGGUCAAGGAAAAUCUUUCCAAUGUGAGCUUGUCUUUGCCAAGAUGGGAAUCAAGUGAGUUCAUGUUUUUUUAGAUGCAAAUUCAAGGUCUUGAGUAUAUGGCGACGGGUGAAGUCAAAAAAUUUUGUGGGCUAUAGUUAAACUAUAAAUUUGAUGAAAUUUUAUUAUUGUAUUAACUUAAAAAUUUACUAGUUUUAAAAGGUUAAAUUAUAAAUUUUCUAUUUUUAGAAGGUUUAUAAUUUAAUUAUAAUUUUUUAGAAGCAAAAUGCAAUUAUUCUUUUGUGUUAACUUAAAAUUUUACAAUCGCUAGAUGAGCUAAACAAAAAUUUACCUUAGCUAAAAUAUUAAAUGUCAAUAACUUUAAUGAUUAAAAUGGAUAAAAGGUAUAAAAUUGAGGGUUAAUUUGGUUGGUUUUUUAAAAUUAGAGUCAAAAUUAAUGAAAUGUGUAAAUAAUUAGGGUCUAUUGUGCAAAUAGAAACAUGCUAAUGAAUUAAUAUAAUGAAUUAACAUCACAGCCCCAUUAUGAUGAGUGCCGGAGAAUUGGAAAGUGGGAACGCCGGAGAACCAGCCAAGUUGAUCAGGCAAAGGUACCGUGAGGCCGCCGACAUUAUCAAGAAAGGGAAAAUGUGUUGCCUCUUCAUCAACGAUCUCGACGCUGGAGCCGGUCGUAUGGGAGGAACCACACAAUACACAGUGAACAACCAAAUGGUGAACGCCACACUCAUGAACAUCGCUGAUAACCCCACCAACGUUCAGCUCCCCGGUAUGUACAACAAGGAAGAGAACCCUCGUGUUCCGAUCAUCGUCACCGGUAACGAUUUCUCGACGCUGUACGCGCCUCUCAUCCGUGACGGUCGUAUGGAGAAGUUUUACUGGGCACCCACCAGGGAAGAUAGGAUCGGUGUUUGCACAGGUAUUUUCAGGACCGACAAUGUUCCCGUUGAUGACCUUGUUAAGCUUGUUGACACCUUCCCGGGCCAAUCCAUUGGUAAGCUUCUCUUUCAACACUUUUUCAAUUCGUGGUCUCUAUACAAAGGUCUAAUUUUUGUUUUAGUCCCUCCACAAUGCUAAAAUUCAAAAGUUAAUCCUUCUAAUCUGGUGUGCUCGCAAGUUAUUCAAGUUUGACUUAAAAAUUCGAAUCUGAUUCAAUCAUUCUCGAGCAACUCAAGCUAUUGAGUAAGUCGAAUUCAAGUAUUUUAGUACUUGAGCCUAAUUUGUAUAUUUUAUGAAUUUAUUUUUAAUACUUUGAUGAUAAAUUACUAGUUCAUCUAAAAAAAUGGGUAUAUAGAACAAGGUCAAGCUUAAACUCGAGUUUGGCUAUACAAUUGUGUGUGAAUGAGCUUAAUUGACCUCAAGCUUAUAUAGUAGUAUUUGAUUUAGCUUGAGCUAAGUUUCAAGCAGUGAGUUCUAAAUUAAAUUUGAGCUUGAACUUCUCAGUAUAUGAGCUCAACUCAACUCGAUUACAAUCCUAUUAAUAGGUCCAAAUUGAUAGCAUCAUAUUCAAUCUACAAUAAAUUUACAUGUCAGCCAAAUCUUUAAGUCUAUUUAGAUAUUCUGAUAACAUUAUAAAAGUAGAGGUAUCGAAUUUUGUCAGAUUAAAUUAACCAUAAUUAAAUCCCAUAGGAAUUAUCAUUAACGGUGUAUUUGCAUGUGUGUGGUUCAAUUUGUAGACUUUUUCGGUGCUCUGAGGGCCAGAGUUUACGAUGACGAAGUGAGGAAAUGGAUCGGAGAGGUCGGAGUCAAUGGUGUCGGGAAAAAGCUCGUGAACUCGAGGGAAGGGCCACCAUCUUUCGAGCAACCGAAGAUGACCAUUGAGAAGCUGUUGGAAUAUGGAUACAUGCUUGUUGCUGAGCAAGAGAAUGUGAAGAGGGUUCAAUUGGCUGACAAAUAUUUGAGUGAAGCUGCCCUUGGAAAUGCUAAUGACGAUGCUAUCAAGAGAGGAGCUUUCUAAAUGGGAAAUUAAGCUCUAAGGGAAGAAAAAAAUCUAUAUUGGGCACAAACAAAGGAAAUCCCCCCUUUGUGUCUUAAUUGAAUGUUGUUUUCCUUUUGUGUUUUAAGUGGAUUUGCAUCCUCUAUUUUUGUGUUAUAAAAUCUCCACUUUGUUCUUGUCUUAAAUGUUUCACUUUAUUUGUUCCAAUCAACUUUUUUUUUUUACAUGAUUAGUUUUGAAUAAAAAAUUUCCUGUUAAAAGAUUGUGUUAUUUGAUAAAAAAAAUUGAAUUUUUUUAUAGGAAAAAUAAUUUUUUUUGGUUUCCAUUUCACGAAAAAAAAUUAUUUUAAUUUUUUAUUUAACUUUUUGCCUCUUUUUAUCUCUUGAACUUAUAUUUUUUUGUCAAAUCACCCAGAAAUUGAUAGAAAAGUUAAUGUUUGUUAACUUUGCUAACGUAGCAUACACGUAGAAUGUCACGGAGAUGACAUGUCAAUAUUUAAUUAAUUUUUUAAAAUUUUAAAAAUUAAUUAAAUGUUGAUGUGGCAUACACAUGGUAAGUUAACCAACUUUAAUUUCCAUCUAUUUUGAAGUGAUUUAAUAAAAAACGUAAGUUUAAGGGUUAAAAAAAGAUGAAAAAAAAUAAAUGGAGGGCUAACAUAACCAAAUAAGUCAUUAUGCCAUAAAAAUAUUAUGCGAAAACUGGAAUUGAGAGAAAAAAAGUUAGACCUAUUAUGUGAAAUAUUGUUUACUUCGUAUUUAUAUAUUAUGUCAUUUAAAUCACAUGAAAAUAAAUUUAUAAUAAUGUAUCGGAAAAAUUAAAAAAUUAUUUAAAAUUUUAAUAAAAAAUACUAAAUUAUUAAAUACUAAACUAAAAAUAGUAUAAAAAAUUUUUUUUAAAAAAAUGAAUGUAUUUAAAACAAGCUAAAGUUAAUUAUCUAAAAAAGCUUAAGUAGGUUAAAAUAAUGACACUAUUUUAUUUUAUAUACUUUACAAGCAAAAUCGAGAAGUUAAUUUUAAGGUAUAGUGAAAAAUUAAAUAUGUAAAAAAUAGAUAAUGAACUAUAAAGUGAGAUUACGUCCUUAAAUUAUCAAUGUUAUAUUAAUAAUGUCUAAGAAAAAUAGAUGUUGUAAAAAUUUAGUUUUAAGAUUUUCGGAGCUUUUAUGAAAGCUAUCGGCCACUCUUUUCUAUUCAAUUUUAUUUUUUUCAGUUUUUAAUUUUAAAAUUCAUGUCUCAAAAUUUAACUUUUCUUUAAACUUUAAUUUUAAAUUAUGCCAUUUUACAUGUAAUUUGAUUGUUAAAUUAACAGUUUCAAUAAUAAAUGGACCUUAUUGAUAUAGCAUCGAUAGUUUAGGGAUGUAAUUAAAAUGUUUUAAAGUUUGGGGAUUAAUUUAGAAUAAAUAUUGUAAUUUGAGGAUGUCUAGUGAAUUAACUCAAAAAUUAUUUUAAAUUAAAUUUAAAUAAAUAUUUUAUUAAUAAAAUAGAAUUCAAAUUAGUCAAAAUUUAGCCUUUUUGCUUCCUUUGGACUUAGAGAUAUAUAAUGGGCUAUUAUUGGCCCAUUUAGAAACCCUUGGGCUUUAGAGAGGAUAAUUUGUUUUAUUAUUGAAGCCCAAAAUAGUAUUUGUCCAUAAAUUUAGAAAUUUACAAAAAAAUACAUACAUAUUUUAAUUAAUUUUAAAAAUGUAAAUCCAACUGCAAACACAAUUAUUAUAUUUUUUAAAUUCAUUUUACAUUAUAAGUAUUAUAUUUUACUUGCAAUUAAUUUUUAAUUUCACAAAUAAAAUUAAAAAAAAUCCUUUUAAUAAAUUUUUAUUGUAUAAAAGAUAAAUGAGAAAGGGACUCGAUUCAUCUAGUAUACAAUGGUGAUGUGCAUGCUUGCAUCAUUGGCAUGACAUCACAUUAAGCAACCUCAUAUGAGGACUUAAUUGAAUAUAAAAUAUAAAUGGAAUAUUAUUAUUUAAAUUUGAAUUAAUUAAGUUAUUUGUUCAAUGCUUAAAAGUUUAUUACAAAAAGUCGAUUACGUUUUAACUGAAUUGGCAUGAGCAUUAUUGUUAAUAUAAGAGGACAUGGGUUUGAAUGCGUUGAAUCGUAUUAUCCUCCUAUUUAUAGGUUGGGGAGGGGCUAUAGAUAGUUCUAAGUAUUUAGUAAAAAAAUAAAUAUAAUCAGAACUUAUAAUAAGAUUACUGCAAAAUUGCAUUUAGUAAAUCUCAAAAUAUAUUUAAUUAUUUAAACCUUAAUUUAUUAUAAAUAAAAACAAAGUGAAUGAAUAUCCAAAUAUACGAAAAUUACACACCCAUCACAUCCCUACUAUAAAAAGAGAAAGUGAUGGCUUACCAAACGAUACGUGCAAUUAGGCUUACGAGUUUUGGUAAAAUUUUGCUUUAGGUCCCGAAAAGAAAUUGAUUUUUAUGGUUUGCAAAAUAAAAUCAUCAUUUCUUUCCAAGAAAGUCCUCUAUGGACUAUAUUAGAAGAGAGUGUCAUUUUGACACUUAACCUUAAAAGUUUUGUCGAAUUGCUUUUUGUUAGAUUAAAAAAAUUGAAUGAAUUGGUAAAAUGUUAACGUUAUUGAUAUGGCAGCUCGUGUGACAAUUCACACGUACUUUAUUGUUGACAUUGAUAAUUUUUUUAAAUUUUUUUAUGAUUUUUUAUGAAGUACAUGCCUAAUGAUGGUGGCCUUGCCCCCUUAAAAAGGAAAAGUUUUGUUUAAGUCCCUUUAAAACCAUAAAAUUGUAAUUUAAUAUCUUUUAGAAAUUAUAAAGUUAAAAACUUCCAAUGAAAAAAUUGCAAUUUCACUCUCAGUAAAUUUAUAAUUUAAUUUUGGCCACUCCAAAAAAUUUCCUAGCUUCGCCCCUUAUAUAGGGGUGAGUAAAAUCCAAUUUGAUUUUAAAAACUCGAUAAAAUAUUAAAAUUUUGAAUUAAAUAGUUCGAGUUAAUAGAGUUAUUUGGAUCAACUUGAAUAAAAAAUCAAAAUUUUCAAUUUAAAUCAAAUAUGAAUUGCACAAUUUGAGUUAUCCGAAAAUUCGAAUAAAAAAAGGCAAAACUAUUUCUAAAGUUAAAAGUCAAAACUGUGCCGUUUUAAUAAAUAUUUACCCGUUAAGUUAAAAGAUAAAACCAUUAUAUUAUUUAUUUAAUUAAAUAAUCUCGUAUUUUAUCUACUGAUUAAAUAAUAAAUUUAUGUAAACCUAAUAGUGAGUUAAAUAAUGGUUGGAUGGACGGUUAUGGAAAGACACUCAGCUUACAGUCAACUGAAAUAACAUGGAAUCUGCAGGCGGCGUGGUCCACGUUUAAAAUAACAUGGGGCCAGCACGCGGCAUGGGAUCAAAACAUGUAGACCCCACGUGGAUACAUUUUUUCUCUCGCUCUCGCUUUCUAUACUGUGCCCUACAGGAUCAUGAAUCUUCAUGCUACUUCUUCAUACAGUCUUUUAAUCAACCCAGGUGUCACAAGCUGGGUUGAUCUGUGGUGGACGGCAGAAAGUGGCUUGGGUUAAUGGUCCACCUCAAUUACACGUUUACCACAAAAAAGAGAAAAAGUACUAAGAAAAAAGAAAACCAUAAUGAAAUAUAAAUUUCUUUUAAUGCUUAAUCUCAAGAUCCGCCAUUAACGAUAAAUUAUGUUUUAGUUGAAAUGAUGAAAUAGAAAUAUACGGGUUUUUUUUGAUUUUAUAAAUAAUAUAAACAGAUUAAAAUAUACUUAUAAUAAUAUAAAUUAUUUUGUAAAAAUAUCUUUUUUUUAAGGUUUGUACUUGUCGUUUUUAAUAAUGUUGUCUCUAAAGUUUAAAUUUAUAUUUUCUCUUUGUGAGUGCAAUGUGUCUUACCGUAAUAUUUUUACUUGAAUUCGUAUUCGAUUAACUCAUUACACCAAUUUAAUUAAAAUUUGUAUUAUGGUAGACAUAAUAAUAACAUUAGAAGAAAGUUUUCAAAAGUUUUUAGCUACGAAUGUUUCAAAUAUAAAUUAUUACAAUUUAAAUGAUAGGAGAAGAACUAAAUAAAUGUAGUAUAAUCGUGUUAAAUAGAGACGAACUUAAAAAAUUAUUUUAAGAGGAUCGUAGAUGGAUCAUAAAUUAUUAUGGGUAAGGUAUAAUUUUAUCAUUAUAAAAAUAUAUAAGUGCAUGGGUUCUUUUUACAUGUUUAUUAAUUUUUUUUUGAAUAAUCUCAUUUUAGGUUCUGAUCAUAUAUGUUCCUUUUGACACAAUACUUAAAACUACCUAUAGUCUCCCCAACCCAUAAAUAAGAGGAUAAUACGUUUCAGCUCACUAAAACCCACAUCCUCCUGCAUCGGUACAAUCGAGUUAAAACACAAUCGGCAUAUGUAUAUUAAAUUUAAGUGAAGUGAUAUGGUUUAAUCUAAUCUAGAGUUUGUCUUUUGGACAAAUUUUUAAUAAUGAUGAUUUAACUUUUUGUGUGUGUGUUUAAUUUGAUUAAAUUAUUAAGUAACAUGGAUAUUUAAUUUAAUAAAUAAUUCCCAAAAGUUUGGUGAAGUAGCCACUAACAUGAUAGUAGAAGAAAGUGUAUUUUCUAAUACAACGUGUGUUUAUUUGACAUUUGGUGUUUGUAUUCAUUCCAUUGAUUAAAUUAAUACUUAAAACUUUAAAUAUAAAAUCCAUAAAAUGGUCAGACCAUGCAGGUAAUGGUUAAAAUAAUAGGGCAUUAGAUUAUGUUAUUUAAUUUUUACCUAAAAUUAUAUUGUUUUUCAUGCUUUGGUCAACAUUUGAUUUUUUUUAUAUUAGUAGUUUAUAUAUCUUAAUUUAAUAGGCAAUGUUAAAAAUUAUCAAAUAUCUCGUUUUUUAUUAAAUUAUUUUUUAAUAAAUUUUUUUGCAUAAGCUCGGAACGAACGGAGAUAGAAUCAGACUGAUUCCCUAAGUGCUUUUUUGGACGUUCUUCAAUGUCCUGGCUAUUCACGGAAUGUGGGAAAUGGAUGAAUAAUCAUCUGCUUCCGGAAGAAAUUGAAGGAUUUCUUGGGAAUCCUACAAGAUCCAUUCGUUCUUUUUUUCUCUAAUAGAUGGUCAGAACUUCAUCUGGGUUCGAAUCCUACUGAGAGGUCCACUAGAAAUCAGAAAUUGUUGAAGAAAGAAUAAGAUGUUUCUCUUGUCCCUUCUAGGCGAUCAAAAAAUAAAGAAAUAGUUGAUAUGGUUCCGAAAGAUGAACUGGGCAGUUCCAAUAAGAUUUCAUUCUUGAACAAAAAUGGAACCAAACUGGAUCUAGUGUAUUUUAAGGGAUUUGCCUUUUCUAUUGAUUCCUACGGAUUGAAUUUUUUUUUGAAUAAGCUCAUUAUAAGUUCUGAUCAUAUCUGCCUUUUUGAUACAAUGUUUAGAACUACUCAUAGUCCAUCCCCAACCUAUAAAUAGGAGGAUAAUGUGCUUUAGCGCACUCGAACCCAUGUCCUCAUGUAUUGGUAACAAUACCCAUGCCAAUUGAGUUAUAAUUCAAGCGACAUUUUUUAGUAUUUUAUUAAAUAUUUAUUUAUUAAAUUAUUUUUAGUAUUUUAAAAAAUAUAUAUUUUACCUUAAAAAUAAAAAUAAAAUUUUAUAUUUCAAAUUUGCUAUUUGUUAAUAUUAAUAAAGCUUAAAUAUGCAUUUGGUUGGAAAACUUUGAUGAGGAUAGUGGAUGAAAAGUAUGUUUGGGUAUUAAGUUAUGAUAAAAAUAAAUAAAAAUAUAAGAAUCAAAUUGAUAAAAGAAAUCAAGUUCUUAGACUAAAUGCAUAAUUGACCAUAUUAAUAUCUACCUAUUGAAAUUUAAACUUUUAAUGGAGAGGUUAAUUAAAGAAACACCAAUUUAAAAAAAACAAUUAGGGAUUUAGGUUUUUUUUUUCUAAAUUUAAGGAAAUAGGUCAAUUUUGGAGAGAGAAAUAGAAAACACGUCUUGCAAUGCUUCCUGCAAGACAUGUUUUCUGUCUUUUUUAAAAUAUAUAUUUUUGUUGGGUGUUGAAAAUUUUGGGAGAAAAUUUAUUUGUGUUAGUGUUUGAGUUUGACAUUGUGAUAGUUUUAAGGUAUGUUUAAGUUUACGGUGAUGCGAUAGUGCUUGGAGACCCACACAUUUUAUCUGUUAGUGGGGAUAGAAUCAUCACUUUAGAAUCCCAUCGAAUUGCAACUCAGGCUCUUAGUUCACGGUGGUUAUAUGGUCGUGGGUUAAAGUAUAAGUCGGGCCCCCAGUAGAUGGUGGUUAUGUGGUCACGGGUUCAAGUUUUAUAAUACUGAAAGAAAAUACUUUAUAAACCUCAUACAUAAGUUUGAGAUCAUAAUCAUAGGGGGAAAAAUGACUUUCAAAUAUAAUCAACUUAUUCUUUUUCUCCAUCUCCACCAAAGGUAAUAUCCUUAACCUCAUUGUCUAUAAUUUGUGACAGAGUUGGGAGCAAGAAGGCUUUUAGGGGGAGGAGUGAUUGCGAUGGUGGAGAAUAAGUUGAAACUCGAGUCGAGUCGAGUCGAGUCGAGGCGGUAGUGGUUGUAGUUAUUAAUGAGUUCUUUAAUCAUACAAAUCACAUACAAAACAAUACAAAAAUUAUUUUUUUCUUAAAUUGUAAAUAAGUAUAUUAUUAAUGUAAAAUAGAAUAGAACAACUUUUUUAUUAUAUAAUUGGAAUAAGUAAUUAUGGAUGGAAAAAUUCAAUAUAAUACAAAUUAAAAUUUAAUAAAGCAAAUGAUGAUUUACAUGACAAAAAUUUAAAUAAAAUAUUCAUCGGCAUCGCCGGCCCGAAUGUGUGCCACAACUUGGUAGGUGUCGGUUACGAGAAGGAUUUCGUUAUAGUUGGAGUUUCAACUCCUCAUAUUCUUCAUCUUUACUUCGACCUCCAUGUUGAUCUCCAUCUUCAUCUUCAUCUCCUUCUUCCGUGCUAGAGUGCAUUUGGAUCCUAGGUUCCCAUCGUAUAUCGCUCGUUGUAUUAAUAGGUGGUUGCAAAAAUGACCCACCUCUAUAGAACAGUGAUGUUGAAGGUGUUUGCAACACUACCAGUGGAUAAGUGUAUUGUGUCGCAUAAUCCGAUUGUGAAUAGAAUGUUGGAAUUGUCGGUAAUGGUAGAUACAUCGGUGUUGUUUUCGGCAUUGGCGUGUAAUAUGGUCCUAGGAUGGUUGUAGUGCAAAAAAUAUACAUAGAGAAGGUUUUAAUGCAUAGUAUGAUGGUGUAUAAUGUGGUGCUUGUGUAAAAAAAAAAACGGGGUAGUGAAAUUACAAAAAAAUAUGAACCAUAUUGAUCGGGAGGUUGCGCACCCAUCGGUGCCUCAUGUGGGGUUGGAGUUGAUGAUGAUUCCAUCGAGGCAUGUACUCCCGACCUAGGAUUCAUGCAGGGUCGUCUUGGCUGCCUACAACGAUAUUGUUUGCUCCUUUCCUCCUCUAGCAGUAGAUAUAACUUACUAUGAAGUCUAAACCAUGUCAUGUAAUUCGGAGAGGUCGCCAAAUCUGGUGGGGGAAUUGGUUUGCGCAUAGGUAUGAAAUCGUAACUAUACUCCUAAAUGUAGAUAUAUUUGGCAUGGAAUUUCAGCCAAUCUUCAUUGGUUUUUCCCUGUAAGUCGAUAUUAUGUUAUUCAUCGAGAUCCUGGGGUGACAGUGGAUUAAUUUGCUUAAACCUAAACUAGCACAUCACUCGAUUGAAUUCGUGCAUUUUGACAGUUUAACAACCUAUCAAUGACACUUUGACAAGCCAAAUAUUGCGAUUGGCCAAAAAUUCUGCCAGGAUGCAUUCUUGAAUUCUUGGAUCAGAGUAUGACAUCUAUUCAAACUAUAGUAUGAAAUUAUAAAUUUUAUUAUGGACCUAAUAUUAAAUUUCAAAUUCUUACGUAAAUAUUAUAUAAUUUAAAAUUCAAAAAACUAACCUCGGCUUCAAAUCAUUGAUCUAACAAUAACCGGAUAUCUUCGAGCUUGUCUGGUAUACCUACAUGACUCGUGUCAUUCUUCCAUCUAUUUAAAUAAUAUUCUAUUCAAAAAAUAUAAUAGUGAAAAAAAUAUUAUGAUACUUAUAUUAUCAAAUGAAUUUUACCUUAUUACGAGUAAGAAUUCAUAAGGGGUGUUUACUCGAGACAUAAAAAUGAUAGCCAGUACCAUGUACAUGAUUGAAGGACUAUGCAACCAUCGAUUUUAAUUUUUUGUGAUUUCAUUGCUCGACACAUCUCUUGGUACAGUGUCGCCAACACAGUUGAUCCCCAACUGAGUCAUCCCGCUUCUUUCAAGUCGACUAGUUGUAGUAGCCACCUUAAAUGUAUUAGAUUUCAAGAUUUAUCAGGCAUUAGAAGCCUCCCUAUUAACCUUAGGAUGAAUGCUCCUGCAUAUUGUUCUCUUUCAACUACACUCAUAGAGUUGUCGAUAUAAUUGAAAUUGUCUUCUAACCAUUUCAUCUCUAUCAAACUACCACUAAACUUGUCCAAUACAUUUCCUAAUAGUUGCUCGUAAAUCGUGCUCCAAUCGCCAAUGCCCACUACCCACAUAACGACUGUCUCAUCCACUGGUAAACCAAGUUGUUAUCCAACGUCCUCAAGUGUAAUUGUACACUCACCGCACAGAAGAUGGAAUAUGUGUCUCGGGUCUCCAUCUUUUCACCAAAACACUGAUAAGUGUGAGAUCCAAUUUAGUCCCCCCGAGCAUACGAGACACGUGCAAGAAUCCCUCCUCUUGCAAGUGUUGUUCAAUAAUACGCGGUGCCCUUUCACUUAAAUUGUGUAUGUACGUCUCCAUAAUAUGAUAUUAGUCUGAUUAUAUAAACAUAAAAAGAUGAUAAAAUUAAUAGCGUUAACAACUUAAUAAUUGAAUUAGUUAAAAUAAAAAAAAUUAAUAAUAUUUUCUUAACAUUUGCAAUUGAAUGUCGGAAAUGUACUUACCAUCUAAACGAAUAAGUGACAUUAACAUUUUUAAAAUUAUAAAAUUAAAUAAAAUCAAAGAAAUUAGAAAAUAUAAAAUUAAAACAAGAAGGAUUUGAAAGAAAUUAAAUGAAAAAUUAAGAACUAAAUAAUUAAAAAAAUUUACAGAUUAAAAUUUGAAUGCAAAUGAUAGAAAAUGAGUUAAGGGUCCUUUUGUUUACAUGUAAAAGGUUUUACGGAAAAUAUUUUUCGUAUUUUCCUGUGUUUGUUUCACAAAAAACAGCUUGGUCAGCUAAAAAUAACUUACAGGUCAACGGAAAAUAAGCAUUUUUCAUUGUAAAAUGACUUACCAUUUUGAAAAGCGUAAGUCAUUUUCCGAAGAAGAGCUCAUCAAUAGAUUAUUUUACUUUUAUAUAAGAAUUAACUUAAAUCAAGUUUAAUAUUAUUAUAUUGAUAAUAAAUUUUAUUUUUAAAAAUAUUUAAAAUAUUAAUAUAAAAUAUUAUAUUUUUAAUAUUAUUAAACAUACGUAUUUAAUUAUUUAUAUUUAGUUAUAUAAUAAAUUAUUUAUAUAAUUAAUAUAAUUUAUUAUUUUUAAUAAAUUAUUUAAUAUUUAAAUUUUAUUUUAAUAGUAAGUUUAAAAAAAUAAUUUUAAAUAAUAUUAUUCACAUGUUAUUGAAAAUAUCAAUAUUAAUAUUUUAAUACUAAAUAUUUAUUAUAAUUAUAAAUAUAUUAAUAAUAAAUGUUUUGUAGUAUAAAAGUUAAAAUAUGUCAUAAGUCUAUAUACUCUUCACAAAUUUACAAUUUAGUUUCUGUACUUUUAUUUUUAAGAAUUUAGUCCCUCUACUUUCUAGAUUUGAAAAUCAAGUCCAACUGCUGACAUUGUUGAUUUUUUUUGUCAAUUUUGUUAAUGUCACAUUUUUAAAUAAAAAAUACUCAGUUGGUAGUCAUGUAACUAAAAAAUGAUCAUUGCAAUGAACUUAAAUUGAACAAAAUAUUUUUAAUAUAUGUAAAAACAAUGUAAAAUAUAAAAUUAUGGAUAUAAAAUAAACUCAAUUAAACAAUGAAAAAAUAAAAAAAAUCUCAUAUGUAUGUUUAUUUAAUUGAAAACGACUUUUAUGAAAUAUUUUUAAAGAAUCUGCCAAACAAAAAAAAUAUUUUAUACAGAUUUAUCUAAACACUAAAAAAUAUUAUUUUUUUCAAAAAAGUAAGUUAUUUUUUAGAAACCAUUUUUCAGAAGCCUGUAAAGUAAAUAAACUAGUUGACAUUAACUAUUAGAGUGACCAUUAGAUGAAAACGCGUCUAAGAUUUUCGGCGAUAUUCAUGUGAAAAGGUGAAAGAUUCAUCAAACUCUAUGUUAAUUUCACUCAAGAAGUAGAAUUGCAUCAUUUCUAAAGGUUUGAAUUUCCUCGUAAUUCCCUGUAAAUCCUCACCUGAGUUCAUACACCAGUAAUUAGUCCUUUAAUUCCCACCUUAGCUAUAAAUCUCUCUUUAGCUCUCCUUUCUAUUCUCAUUUUCUUCAACCCCAAAAAGCAAAAAUUUCAAUCCCAAUUCCCCUUUGCAUGGCAAAGGAGUUGUUUUUUUUCUGGGUUUCUCUUGUUUUUUCAUCAAACCCAGUUUUUUCUCACUUCAUCUUCAAUGGGUUUCAUGAUUCAGGCGACCAAAUGAGCUUAAAUGGAGUUGCAGGCAUUACAAAGAGUGGGUUACUCCGUUUAACCAAUAUUACCCAAGAUGCAAUUGGCAGAGCUUUUUACUCAUCUCCUUUUCAGUUCAAGAACUCCAGCAAUGGCAAAGCUUUUUCUUUUUCAACAGCUUUUGCUUUCGCCAUGGCUCCUGCGUACCCAACCCUUGGUGGCGGCCAUGGCCUUGCUUUUGUUCUUUCUCCUUCAAAACAAAUUGCAGGUUAUCACAGUCAAUAUCUAGGCUUGCAUAAUCCAAGUGAUCAUCAUGGGAAUAAUUCAAGUAACCAUGUUUUUGCAGUAGAGUUUGAUACUUGGAGAAAUCUAGAGUUUGGUGAUAAAGAUGACAAUCAUGUUGGCAUUGAUUUGAGUAGCAUGCAUUCAAAUGCUUCAGCAACUGCUGGAUAUUUCCUUGAGAACUCAACAAUGCAAAAGUUGAAUCUCAAUAGUGGGAAAGUGAUUCAAGCUUGGAUUGAUUAUGAUUCAGCUAUAAAUCGAUUAGAGGUUAAGCUUUCAACUUUAUCUAAGAAACCCAAAAAAUCAAUCUUGUCCUUUGGUGUUGAUCUCUCACCAUUUCUCCAUGAUUCCAUGUUUGUGGGGUUUUCAGCUUCAACAGGUAAGCUUGCAAGCUCUCACUACAUCUUGGGAUGGAGUUUUAACAUGAGUGGAGAGGCUGAAUCUUUGUCUUUACCUUCUUUACCUUCACUUCCAAGGCCUAAACAAAACUACACUGCCUUAAUCCUAUGUGUCAUAUUUCCAGCUGUUCUUUUAAUGAUAUCACUUGCUUUCAUCUCGUUUUACCUUGUUAGGAACAUGAAGAAUUUAGACAUGAUUGAGGCUAAGGACCUUGAGAUUGGUCCUCAAAGGUUUUCUUAUCAAGAACUCAAGAAAGCAACAAAGGGUUUCAAAGACAAAGAGCUACUUGGUUUUGGUGGAUUUGGCAGAGUUUACAAAGGAACUCUGCCAACCACAAACACUCAAGUUGCUGUCAAACGAAUCUCUCAUGAAUCAAAGCAAGGGAUAAGAGAAUUCCUGUCUGAGAUUUAUAGUAUCGGUCGACUUCGCCAUAGAAAUCUUGUUCAGUUUCUAGGAUGGUGUCAAUGCAGAGGUGAUCUCUUAUUAGUCUAUGAUUUUAUGCCUUGUGGUAGCUUGGAUAAGUACCUGUUUGAUGAGCCAAAACAAGUUCUAAGUUGGGAACAUAGGUUCAAGAUCAUCAAAGGUGUGGCUUCAGGUCUUUUGUAUUUGCAUGAAGAAUGGGAACAAACUGUAAUUCAUAGAGACAUCAAGGCAGGCAAUAUUCUGCUAGAUUCUGAGCUAAAUGGAAGACUUGGUGACUUUGGUUUAGCCAAGUUAUAUGACCACGGCUCGAACCCGGGCUCGACCACGGUGGUUGGCACAUUUGGGUACUUGGCACCUGAGCUUCCAAGAACUGGUAAGCCUAGUACAAGUACUGAUGUGUUUGCAUUUGGUGCACUUUUGCUUGAAGUGGCAUGUGGGAGGAGACCUAUUGACCCAAAGGCAUUGCCUGAGGAGCUGAUCUUGGUGGAGUGGGUGUAUGAGAAGUGGCAAAGUGGGGCAGUUCUUGAAGUUGUGGAUUCAAAAUUGAAAGGCGACUUUGAUGAGUGUGAGGCUAUUCUUGUGAUUAAACUGGGCUUGAUGUGUUCCAAUGAAGUGCCAGAGGCGAGGCCUACAAUGAAGCAAGUUGUAAGGUACUUGGAGGGGGAAGUGGCACUGCCGAAACUGGUGCCAUCACCUGGUGGAUAUGGUAGAAACGAGGGCAAUCGAAGUGACAGUAUCGCGUUCGAAGAUUAUGUGCAUUCGUAUCGAAAUUCAUCGUCCGCAUGCUCAUCGGCUUUUGAAAACCAGGACAUAGAUGUUGAAGCAGGUUUAACAACACAUAUCAAUCUCAGCAGAGGAAAUGGCAGAUAGCCAUUGAAGAGCAAGACAGAGUUCUUUGCCUUUUUAGGAAUGUUUUUAGAGAAAUGCUUUUUUUUCCUUCUCUUCAAGGAUUGUUAAAAGGAUUAUAUUUUUGUAUUAUGUUCAAAGAAAUGUUUUGUAAAAAAGGGUAAAAACAAAAACUGUAAUUGCAAUAGUGCUUCGACCUGUGAUUACAAUUUUAACUACGAAAUAAAUAAAAAUACUUUCUUACAAUACAACUAAUGAUUCAAGUCUUAGCACUUGCAACCUCACCAUUAUACAAAAAUUACAUCACUCUCCCACUAGCUUAUCCUUCGCAAGCUUAGCUUGCUUACAAAAACAAUACACAUAUACACAUCCCUCACAUGAAUAAAGUUGUGCUCUAUAAAAUGUGACUUUACUUGUUCCGCAAGUAACUUGACUUAAUCAUCAAGAAACUUCAAAUCUUUAAUUUUAAUUUAAUUGGUCUUUACUCAUCCAAAAUCAUAAAAGAUAAAUAGUCAAAUGCUUUUGUUCUAAAAUUUAAAACUUAAUUGGUCUAAUUUUGGUUUUAAGUCCCUCCACAAUGCUAAAACUUGAAAUUUAUUUUUUCUCCUUUAAUUUGACAUAAUUCCGUCCCUACUCUCUUUAUUUUUUGAAUUGCUAAUUUUCCGUUAUUUCAUUAACAUUUUCUGUUAAUUCUAUUUGAAAAUCCAAGCAUAAUCAUAAAUUUACCCCUUAAUUCUUAUAACUUUGGUUGCCUCCAUAUUUUUUCUUUUAUAAAUCAGUCCUCAAUCUUUUAUUUUUGUAGUUGAACAAGAAAAAAAGCAUUUAGUUUUUGUAAAAUUGAACAAAUUCCACAACAAUUUAGUGGAAUCCCUAAACAUUACACUAGAUGCUGAUAUGACAACUCGUGUUUUAUGUUGAAAAUUUAAAAAUUAUAAAAAAAAUUAAAAAAAUUGUUUUAUUUUAAUUUUAAACAUUAAGCAUAUUUUAAUUUCCCGCUAAUUCUGCUUGUGGAAACUAAAAACUUUUUACGUUCAUUAAUAUUCAAAGCUAAUAAUUCCAAUUGAUUAAAAGUUUAACUUUAAAAUGUUAUUCCUUUAAAUUAUGUUCUUUCAAUACCAAUUAAGUACGUAUAUUACACUCUCAUACAAACCUUUUCAACAUUUAAUCUUUAUUUAAACAUCGAUCUCUCAAGUUAAAAGGCUUAAUGCAUAUUUUAGUUCCUAAAAUAUAUUGGACUUUUUUAACUUUGGUUAUUAAAGUUUUUCUUAUCCAUUUCAGUCCCUAAUAUUAUCAGAUUUUUCUAGUUUAGUCCUUUGAACUCGACUAAAAUAUCUAACCAAUCAUAUACUGCUACAUGUCAUACAAUGUCAUCCGAAAAAGCAUUAAAAAUCUUUAAAAAUGAAAAAGUACAAAAAUUAAAAGAAGUUACAAAAUUAUUAAAAAUUGAAAAAAAUUAUAAAAUUACAAAAAAUUAUAUAAAUAAUUACUUAAAUUACUAAAUUUUUUUAAAAAAGUAGAAAUUUUAAUAUUUUUAAAAUUAUAUGAACCACAUUUCCUAGAGUAUGAGGUUAUUGUCUCUUGGAAGGAUAUCGCAUAUGAUAAUUAUCUUACGAUUCAAACAAUCAAAAUUUGGAUUUUUUUCAAAUUAUUUAAAUAAAAAAAUAGUAUUUAUUAUUUAAAUGAUCGUUCAAUUUCUAGUAACUGUGAUUUAUAAAAUUUUAAAAAUAUUAAAUAUAUUUUUUAAAACUUUUAAUAAAUUUUUAUAUUGUUUUUGUAAAUUUUUAAAGAUUUUUUACGAUUUUCGAAUGAUAACGUGGUAGCAUAUGAUUGACUAAAUAUUCUAGUAAUUAGUUUUUAAUGUCCAAAGGUCUAAAUUGGGAAUAUCUAAUAAUAUUAGAGACCGAAGUAAGCUAAGAAAACUUUAAAAACUAAUAUAUAUAUAUUUUAAAGACUAAAUUGUGCAUUAAGCCAAAUUUAAACAUUUUUCUUAAUCUCUAUCUAGCAAUUACAGAAAAUAGAUAUUAUACUUCCAUAUAGAAAAUUUAACAAAUCUUUGCUACUGAGUAGACCACAAUUGUUAAUUUCUUUUUGAAAAAUGAAAUUCGUUCAAUAUUUUUUAAAUUUGAUUAUCGGCUGGGUUUGGACUACGAAAAAUUAGUUUAAAAUUUUAUCUAAACUCAGCUCAGAUUAAAAAUGCUAAACUCGAACUCGAUCUGACUCGCCCGUAUUAAAUUCUGUUAGAUUAUUUUUUAUAUAAAAAUAAAUUUAAACAAUAUAAUACAUUAAAUACAUUAAGAACAUUAAAAUAAAUGUUUCCCAACAAAUUGAAAAUACAGAAAUCUUCAUACUUAAAUAACAAUAAGAUAGUUGUAGCUUAACAAGCAAAUACCUCUAAAAUAGUAGCAAAAUUAACAAUAAAACAAUAGUUAUACAAUAUCCAAACAAUAACAACAAAAUAGUAACAAUAUAAUAAUGAAAUGGUAGCAAAACAAUAACAAAAUAACUGAUUCGGGCCGAACCCAAACCAAAAAAUUCUACCCGAUGCUUGACCCAUUUAGAAAAUAGACAUUAUUUUUUGUCUCAACCCUUUUUUUCAAGCCUAUCUAAAGUUUUCAAACACUUCACAUUUUUUCCACUAUUAUUCCUAUCUAAAGUUUUCAAGGCUGCCAUUUUGACAACAUCAUUGCUUUCAGCAAAACCUCUCAAGUUUCCUAGUUUAACAAGAAGUACCUUUUGUAGACGAAGAAAACCUCGAGCCAGAGCAAGUGGAAAGACAUAUUUUAGAUUUGGGCAUUCUUUUAUCUCCAUAUUUUUCAAGUUCGGCAAAUAAAGUGUGUUGGAUUCAGCAUUACUUUCCACCUCCAUGAAAACUCUUUUCAGUUCAUUGCAACCAACUAUCUUGAGUUCUUCCAGUACUAUUAGGCUUCGAACAAUGGAUAUUGAGAAGAGAGAUUCCAAUUUCUCCCAGCUUAUUAUUUCUAAAACCUUUAGACAUUCGAGGUCGACACAAUGGGUGGGGCUUUUUACUAUCCAUCUCAAGUCUGGUAAAGACGAUAACUCCAAAAGCUCCAAAUUUGAGAGUAGUGGUGCUGCGUUAUUUGCUUCAUCAACUCGGAAUAUCUCAGACAUGCAGGCGAAUUAACACUCAAUUAUUUGAGACCCAUCAUUGUUUUUGAUGUAUCAACCAAGCAUUCACCACCCUCUCAAUUGAGAAUUUUAAGGGAAAUUAAUUCAUCUAGAAUUUUAAGGCUGAUCCUUGUGUUACAAGGUUAGAACUUAAAUCUAGCAAACCGUGCGACCUUAAGCUGAUUUGAGGUAAUUUUUUUGCUUCAAAUUCGCUUAAGUUAACUUAACUAUAAAAAAUAAGAAUUUUUAAAUUAAGAAUUCUUUAACCAAAUAAAGCAAUUCAACAAAUGUUUGAGUAAAUGUUCUCAAUAUAUUUUUUAACUCAAAAAAUAAAGUGGGAAAUGUCUCUAUUUAUGGUUGAGUUUUCCCAAAUCCAACGGUACAAAUUAAAUUAUAUUAACAGUUGAGAUUAAUGCCUAUUACAAAUGAGAACAUUACAUGUAUAAAACUUGCUUGGUAGGCAGCUUUGAAAACAUUACAUGUAUAAAACUUAACUAAACCAGGCACAGAUUCAAUUAAAUAACUAGGAAAGGAGAAAAAGAAAGCACCUUGAGGAUAGCCUUCUCAUCUUUUAAAUGAACAAAUGAAUCAGUUAAUAGAGGGCAGGCCGACACUGAAAACUCCGUCAAUGGUUUCGGAAACUGCACGGGUCGGGGCGCGUCCCUUCCUUCAUUGCAUCUGACCACUUGCUUCAAUUGAGGGCAAUCAUGAAUAGGAAGAUUUUCAAGCUCCGGAAGCUCUUGUGGCGCCAUCAAAGCCGGAAAAAUAUACUCCAAACCAUCACACUUUACUAUGUAGAGUUCUCGUAACUUUGGGAAACACAAAGAAUCAUGAGGAUCGACGCUCGAUGAUAUUUCUCCUUCAUCAUCUUCCAAUUCUGUGACAAUUUGCUUCAAUCCAUGACAGUCAGAUAUCUCAAGGAUUUCUAAGAGCAUCAAACUUUAAGCAAGACAAAGUGGAAAGAGUGAGUUCAAACUUGGGCAAUUAUCUUAUCCUCAGUUCAACUAAACCUUCCUUUCUUGGCCUUUGGCCCAAGUUAAAGAGAUUAUCCGGGGUCGUUUAAGGAGGAAGACCAAUUAAUAGAAUUGAUCCCGUUAAUGGUUCACUUUAUGUUUCUUGCGAUAUUAUUGAUUAAUUUAUUUAUAUAACUUCAAAGUUAUUUUUUAGUAUUUUUAUGUUCUUUUGUAGCAGUUUAAUUGCCUUUUUGGAUUAAUGAAUUUCAUCAUUCAUUCAAAAAAAUUAAUUUUCAAAUAUUUUAUUUCAAUUUAAUUAUAUCAAUAUAUAAAUAUUGAUAUAAAAAUAUAUUUUAUUAUUUUUAAAAUCAAACCUCGAUCCAGUUUGAUUUAUGAACACUUCUAAUUUUUACUAGUGAGGAGAUAUAUGAGUUAAAUCAAUAAGACAUUAAUGUUUGUUUGUAUCUAUAUUAUAUAUAAAAUAGCUGAGUGAGUUGGUGUCAUGAGUGAACACGAUACCAAUUUAGUUGUGAGAUAUUAAAUACCCUUACUUUUAAAGGCAAUUAAUAUUAUUAUAAAUGUAUUUUUACCUUUCAAUACUUUUAUACAAAAUCUUAAAUAAAACAACUGAAAAAUACUAUUUGAAAAUUAAACAGAAGUCCAACAAUUUUAAAUUGAAAUCUCUUACAGCUACACCAAUAAUCAUUUGUUAAAAUAAUUUAUUAUUUUUUAAUAUAAAAUAUUUUUAUUCACCCAUAUAGUUUAGAACCAAUGUAUCCGGUAAUAAAAAAAAAACAGAUUUUAGCUUAUAAGCAGUUCUUGAAGCUGUGGAUCCAAAAUUGAAUGGUGAAUUUGUUGUGCCUGAGGCAGUUCUUGUGAUCAAACUCCGGUUGAUGUGUUCCAACGAUGCGCCCGAGGAAAGACCUAGUUGGUGGGGGAGUGGCACCACCACAACCAGUGCCAUCACCUGGUGGACAUGGUGGCAAACAUAUCGAGCUCAUCAUUUGAAAUUUUCGUCCAAAACAAUGUUCGACAAAUUUUCACAAUAACUAAUAUCGUAUAAUCAAUUGUUUAGGCUUUUUUUUUUCGCAUUUUUAAUCUAAAUCACAUCAAUCAUUGAAUCAUUGCUUUAUUGAGAAUGCUAACGGGAAAUUUGUCAACUUGUCUUUCUUUUUUAUUUUUCAAACUAGCUGAGACCCCAUUAAAGUGUCUCUUGUCAAAUUAUUUAUGGGACAUAAAGUGAAAGAAUCUUAUGCUCAAAAGCAACAAUAGUAACGUGGAGAUCACAUGAUUGGUACCUUUGAAAUCAAACUCUAUAUCUUUUGUAGUGAGAAUUAUGAUAUACAUUGACCCCCCCACUAUCUCAUGUUGGAAAAAAAGAAAGUGUAUGAUAAUUAACAGCUUUUGAAAUAUAUAAUCAUCAUUUAUGUGAUCAUAAAACUCUUGAUUAUGCUUUGAUUUGCAUAAGUUUCAAGCUCUUGGGAAGGAGUGGCAAUCAUGAUUUAUUAUGUUACUCGAAUUCCACAGAUUGUUUAUGUGAAUACGUAGUGUAAAUAUUCGGAUUUUCAUAUUUGUGAAUGUACGGAAUAUAAAUAAGUUUUUAGUAAAGUAAAACAGUAUAAGUGAGACAAGCGAACAAAUUAGAAUUCGUCAGAAGUAACUCUCUAAUCGAAGACGGAAGUUCCUCCAAUAGAUGAAAUUUCAAUAACUUUGGAUCUUCAAUUUUGGCCAAAAUAUCUGCCAUUGUAUUUUGCGCCCGAGGAAUAUGUUUGAUACGAACCUCCCAAGAUCAAAUAAGCAUGUGAUGUAUCAAUCGAAGUUCCGUCAACCUGCUAUUUGCAGCACCGCCAACAAGAAUAAUCUCAAUCAACAAAGCGGUAUCACACUCCAAUUCCAACUUCUGAAAUCCUUUGUUUCAUGCUAAGUGAAGCCCUUCAAGCAUCGCCCUUGCUUCAACCUGAAAUACUGUACCUUCUACAAUCGACAUUGAAAAACCACAUUGCCACAACCCAUUAACAUCUCUAAUAACACCUCCAACAGAGGCACAAGCCCUUGAAGAGAACACAACACCAUUAGUAUUAAAUUUAACAUAACCCUCUUCAGGAGGUGACCAUUGUGAACCUAUUACCCGAGGAUGAGAAUGAAAACGUAUCUGUAUGCUCGAGGUUGCAUAAGUUUUAUGGAAGAUAGUAGAUGAAACUAUAGCAGUCAUGAUUUAUUAUGUUACUUGAAUUCAAUCUAAUUGUUUACAAAAGUGUAAAACAUGAGAACGAAUGUGUUCGAUUUAAAGAAUGGGUUUUCAAAUUCAUGUAUGACAAACAAAUGUUGGGUGUAAUGGUAAGGUACAUUGUAGUCCCAAAAGGAGAUAAAUUCAAAUUUUGGAGAUGACAUUAUUGGAGGGGCAAUCACGAAACUCGAAUAUGGACAGUUAAACGGACAUAAAAAUUGAGAUUAACUAAAUGUAUCCAAAUAUUCGAUUUAAAUAAAUUUAAAGAUUUUGGAAGAAAUUAUACCAAUCAUACUCAAAUUGAGUAUUGAUUUUUUUUUCAAAUUUUGGUAUGUGAAACAUGAAUAUUUAAAGAAAAUGAAAAAUGGAGCUAAUAAAAAAGUAACUAUAUCUUUAGCGGUUUAAAUCUUCUUUUAAUAGCGAAAAAGUGGCAGACCACUCUUUAACAUGUAGUUACUCUUUAAACCUUAGCAAAAGACCAGCAAGCAGUUUCACUUUCAUUCAUCAAAUUUCAAAAAACAAAAUGCCAAAAUCUUCAAAUCAUUUUAUCUUCUUGUUUCUUUCCUGCAUUUUCGUUUCCACAGGUACAGAAAAUUUUUCCCAGAUUUUUGGUCUAAGCAUUGCAUUUUUCAUCACUAAAAAUGGUUUACUAUUUUCUCGCAGAUGCCAUCCAACUGGUACUAGUAAACAACUGCAAAGAAACAAUAUGGCCAGGAAUCCUCGGCGGCGCCGGCCACGAAACACCCCGAGGCGGCGGCUUCCCUCUCAACUGCGGCGAACAAACAACCCUCGAACUCCCUGAAAGAUGGUCGGGUCGAAUCUGGCCAAGACAAGGUUGCUGUUUCGACGAAACCGGCAAAGGCUCAUGUCAAACAGGUGAUUGUUCAGGCCUUUUACAGUGCCAAGGCAUCGGCGGAAAUCCACCGGCAACGCUCGUUGAAAUGACACUCGGUGGUCCAACAUCGGGUCUACAUUACUACGACGUGAGCUUAGUCGAUGGAUUCAAUGUCCCCGUCUCAAUGGUCCCUAUAGGUGGUGGCGUUGGGUGUGGAGUAGCCGCCUGUGAGACUGAUUUAAACGUUUGUUGCCCGGCGGCAUUGGUGGUGAAGAAAGAAGGGAAAGUGGUGGGGUGUAAGAGUGCAUGUUUAGCUGCUAAAACCGAUAGGUAUUGUUGCACCGGUGAGUUUGGGGAUCCAAAAAGCUGUAAGCCCACCAUUUUUGCUCAUCUUUUUAAAGCUAUUUGUCCAAGAGCUUAUAGCUACGCUUUUGAUGAUGCUUCAAGUCUUAAAACUUGUAGGGCUCCUAGGUAUCUCAUUACCUUUUGUCCUCCUAACUGAUGUCGUUUCAUUGUUGAGAUCAUUGAGUUUCUAUUAUGGUUUGAGGUUUUUUCCUUAUGUUAUUAGUAAAUUGUUGAAUUUGUUGCUUUAAUUGUAUGUUUUUGAAUUGAUUUCAUGGUAGCUAUGAUGGUAUCUUUUUGUUGUGUAUGAUCUUUAUAAUGUUCUGACUUGAAUCUUUUACUAGAAUCCAAGGUUUUGGUUUUACUUAAAAUAUUAACAAACCAUCAAAAUCACACACAUAUUUUGCUUAACUCAUAUCUGCAUAUAUACUCAUUUGAUUUUGUAUCAUAUAAUUUCUUUCUAUAAACUUUGAAGGCUUGGUGGGGAACUAAAAGUCCAACAUUCUACUAAUGGACCACAUGUCUAUUAGUGGAUCAUGGCUUUAAAUUCUCUCAGAUAGACUUAGCUUGUCAAAUAAGUUUUUUUUGGAUUGGGUGAACUUAAAAUUUUUUUAGGUUUUAUUUGGAUUUGAAAUUUGACUUCAGGUCAUUUGGGAUUAUUUGUUUCUAUCAUUUUUAAAGCGCUUUAGUCAUUUUGGAUUAGGUUAGUUUUAAGUUUAGAUAUUUUUGGUUUGAGUUUGAGACCUUUGGAUCAUUUUGGGUUUAGUUUAUUUUUCUGAUUUUGUCAUUUUUUAUCAUUAUGAGUUCAAAUUAUUUUAGAUUCAAUUCAUUUUAAUAUCAAAUCAUUUUGGGGUUUGGGUUAAUUCAAUUUGAGUUAUUAAUUUUUUUAUAAUUAAAUCUCAGCUUUAUUUGAAUUUAGAUUAAUCAUUUUGAUUCGCAAUCAUAAAGAUAAUACAUCUCAAUCGCUAUAAUCACUGCAACCAGAAUUAAACAUUAUAAACCCUUAAAAGAAAUUUAAAGUUGCAAAGAACUCUGUCCUCAUUAAAGCUUUUGACAAUCUUGAUUCUUCAUCCACAAACUUUUUUAUUAAAAAAUAAAUUAAAAUUCCAAGUUGGAUGAUUAAUUUCUCCCAUGAAUAUCAUAAUAUAUUUUACCUAGUAAUCCUAACAUGAAUUCUUAACAUUAAUUGCAUAAUAAAAUAGAUGAGGCAUGUGCUUAGGUUCCAUAACAAUUUCAACAUAUAAUAAAUUGAAAGUUCAUCUCAAUUUAGUAUUACAAUGAUCAAAUCCCACUUUUCACCCACCAUUUUUAAGUAUCAAGUCAAAACCAGAAGCAAAGCUCCCAAAUUUUUGCUGGAAGAUAAACCAAGUUCCCAUUGAAAGAAUCAACUUUGCUACCAUUUUUGCUAUUAAUGGAGCUCAAAGUUGUAAAAGCAAGUGUUGAGAAGGGGGAGGGAUUGGGAUGGGGCAAAUCUUUGCUAGUUCCAAGCAUCCAAGAGAUAUUGAAGAAUGAUUCUCAAUCAGUCCCUGAAAGAUACAUACAAGAACCGAAAGACAGGCCAUUAAUUUCUCAGAACCUGUUUGAUUCACUUCAAGUCCCCGUCAUAGAUUUCUCCAUGUUAGCUCAAAAGGAUGCAAAUGAAAUAAGGAAGCUAGAUCUUGCCUGCAAGGAGUGGGGCUUUUUCCAGGUAAAACCAAACACCUGUAUUAAGCACAUAUUCGUAUUUGACACUCACCCGGGGUUAUCCUAUUUUUGUAGAUAAUAAAUCAUGGGGUUAGAGAGGAGAUCAUGGUUAACAUGAAGGCAGCUAUGGCAGCUUUCUUUGAAUUGCCAUUCCAAGAGAAAUCCAAGUGUGCAAAGGGAGCUAAUGAGAUUCAAGGGUAUGGGCAAAACUUUGUGGUCUCAGAGAAACAGAAACUUGAUUGGUGUGACAUGAUGUUCUUAAAGACAUUUCCCCAUGAAACCAGGAAUUUCAAGUUUUGGCCACUCACUUUACCAGGUUUCAAGUAUGCAUUCUUUCUUGUUUGUUAAGCUAUUAUGUUACUCGGGCAAUACAGGUAUGUAUCUGAUACGGAUAUGUUGAAACAGAGAGGCGGUGGAAGAAUAUUCAACAGAAAUACGAAAGGUUUCGAACAAGAUCGAUGCUAACUUAUCGGUGUUAAUGGGGAUGGACAAAAAUGGAUUGAAAAGGAAGCUAGGAGAGUUUCAACAAGGAAUAAGAAUGAACUAUUAUCCAACAUGUUCAAGGCCUGAUCUUGUUCUUGGUAUUAGUCCUCAUUCUGAUGGAAGUCUAUUCACUUUGCUACUACAAGAUGAUGAGAUCAAUGGCCUUCAAAUUAAGCACAAAGAAGUAUGGAUUGAUGCUAAACCAAUCCCGAAUUCUCUUGUGGUCAACAUUGGUGAUGCUAUCGAGGUUAGCUAUAAUGUUUUUAUGAGUCAAAAGAUUUUACCAAUGGUCAAAUUUUGCAUUAGCCCCUAUAUUAUGUGUGAUGGAUACUCGAAUGGUAGCUAUUAAAUUCAUUAAGUCAAAUUCAUCCCUUAGAAAAAAAUUUCUAAAUUCUAGCAUAAUGACUUAAUGGAUUUAAUUUGACCUUUAUCAAUCCUAGAAUACAAAUUCUGUUUCCUGUCUUGUUUUUAUCAGAUUCUGAGCAAUGGAAUGUAUAAAAGCAUUGAACAUAGAGCUAUCAGCAAUGAGAAGAAACCCAGAAUGUCAAUUGCAACAUUUGUGAUGCCAGGUGAUGAAGUCCAAAUAGGUCCACUGGAUUCAAUGGUGAAUGAGAAGCAUCUCCCUAGAAGUUAUAGAAACAUCAAGUACAUCGAUUACAUCAGGCAAAAGUUCGCCAUGAAAAUGCAGGGAAAAGCUCACACCGCCAUUGUUAAGCUAUAAAGCAAAAUCAAAAUGCUAGCUCUGUUCUUCAUGUCUGUUUUGUAACAAGUCAAUUUAUGAUAACUCACCACUCUUUAAAACAAGAGUAGUAUUGAAUUCUACAUUGCAUAACUCUAACAAUCAAAUUAUUGAAUUCUGUUGUAUAAAAAAUAUCUUGAAAAUUAAAUUUUUUACAAAAAAUUUCAUUUACAAAACUAUAAAAACUUUACCAGACUAAUUUGAUAACGUAAUAAUAACAAAUUAGGUUCUGAUUAUAUCUAUUUUUUUUAUAGAAUGUUUAGUACUAAUUAUAGCCCCUCCCAACUUAUAAAUGGGAGGAUAAUGAGUUUCAGCAUACUCGAAACCACGUCCUUUUGCAUUGGCAACAAUGCGCAUGCCAAUCAAACUAAGACUCAAUCGACUUUAAAAAAUACAUUUAAAUUUAUUAAAAUUUAUACAAAAUUUAUCGAUAUGUCAAAAUUUUUAUAAAUGUUAUAUAUACCAAAUGUAUAUAUUGAAUAUGAUGAUGACUAUAGGAAAAAAAAAAACAAUAUGAAUAUACAAGAUACAAAAUUUGGGAGUAAAUGUCAUGUUGAUGUAGUUAUGCUACACUCAUAUUACUUUUUAUACAAUGUUUGUAUUUUUUUAUUUAGAAUAUCAUGAAUAUACAAUUACAUGCAAUUAAUUCAUUUCAUAUAGAAUUCAAUUUAGAGAAUAAUUUGUAUGUUAAUUUUAUAUUAUAUUUCUAUUAAUCUCGUAUUUUACAUAAUUUUUAAUAUCUAUAAUUUAUAGAAGAAUAUUAAUUCAUAUUUUUUUGUUUGUUUUUUUUCUUGUAAUUAAAAUGUUAUGAAUUUCUAUAAAAUUUUACAUGCUGGCUUGAAACUUUGGAAAUUUUAGUUACUUUAUGAUUUUUAAUAUAUCUUGAGAUUUUUUUAAAUUUUUUUUAUUAGAAUGUUUAAAUUUUGAAACUACGAUCACAACAUUUGUGAAAAAUUGUUAAAAAAAAAAAUCCUCUUUAUAGAAUUUUAGGUUUUUUUUUUCAAAAUUUUAGAAAAAGAAGUUGGAAAUUUUUAUGAUUUAAUAUUAUUAAGAAUUUUUAUAUAUAUUUUUAGUGUUAAAUUAUUUAUUAUUUUCUGAACUUUAUAUAAAUUUUAAUGAAUUUUUUGAAUUUUUUAAAAUAAUUUUUAAAGAUAAUUUUUAUUUUUAUUUUUUAAAAAUUUAAAACUUUUGGAAGUUUUUUAAAUUCUUUGAAUUUUUAAAUAAUACUUUUAAAUUUUAAAAUAUAUUUUUAAAUUAUUAUUAUUAUUAUAUAACUUUUAAGUUUUAAGUUUUUUUUUGACAUUUUUGAUUUUUUAUGAUUUUUUCGACUUUUAGAUUUUCUUUGAUUUUUGAAAAAAAAAAUUCAGCCAACCCUUAUUAAUUUUUCUUAUUUACUCACUUUGAAAAAGUAGAAGAAUUAAAUUAAAUUUUUAGAGAUCAAUUUACCUAAUUUUAAAAUUGACAAAACCUGUCGAUUGAGUUUUAGCUCAAUUGUCAUUGACAUUGUUGCCAAUACAGGAAUAUGUGGGUUCAAGUGCGUUGAAAUACAUUAUCCUCCUAUUUAUGGGUUAGGGAGUGACUAUAGUUCUAGGCAUUGUGUCAAAAAGAACAAAUAUGAUCAGAACAAAUAUGAUCAGAACUUAUAAUAAAAUUGUUUAAAAAUUGACAAAAACAUGUUCUGAGAACGGACUCAAAUGGGGCACAAACAUUUUCUUUCUUUAACAAAGGAAAAAGACUGGAUUUCCCCAUCACAACAAAAACUUUACAUAUUGGAGUUGUCAAUUAUCCAAUAUUCUUCAAUCUUCAAUUAAGGAUUUUCAGGACACAUUUAGUUAAGGGUUCUCAAUGCAUAAGCGGCACCUUUUAUACUAAGUCAUAGAUUCGAUUUUAUUUUUGUUAUAUAUGAGAAUAUAUCGGUGUAAAACUAAAAUAGUUUUAUAUCCUUUCGUAUGAUUAAUAUUUUAAUGAUUAAACCGUCAUAUUUCAUUCAUAUAUAUUAUGCAUGUCAAGUUUAACAUGAUAAAACUUUCAACCGUUCAAUAAAUAUUAAUAUAUACAUUAUUUUAGAGAUAAAAAUAUCGAAUCAAUUAAAAAAAUUAUUUACAUAACAAGUACAAUUAUAUUAAUAGAUUCAAGGAGUUUUACAUUAAUGUAAAUGGAUCCCUUUCUAUAUAAUAAUACUAAUACUAAUACUAAUAAUAAUAAUGGAAGUAGAACAAUCAAAUUUAAUCCGAACUUAAAAACCUAAUUUGAUUAAUCCGAAUUUAAAUUUAAUUUAAUCUUAGCUAAAAAUAAUUCGAACAAAUAAUCUUAAAUAACUUACAGAAAUUGAUUCAAAUCUAAACUAAUUUAAACCGGAAAUUAUUUGAAAGUUUUAGAAUUCAAAUUCACCCUACUCAAAACAUGUUUAAAUGGAAGUGAAUGGUUUACAAGUAGAAAUAGAAUAAGAACAAUUAUGAUUAAGAUAGGAUUACAACUUCACUUAAAACUUUAUUUAGGCGUCGUUUAAGUUUUAGUUUGAUUGACAUAGACAUUGUUGUUAUUGCAAGAAGAUGUGGGUUUGAGUGGCUAAAGCGCAUUAUCUUUCUAUUUAUGAGUUCAGGAGGGACUAUGGAUAGUUUUAGAUAUUGUGUAAAAAAAAUAUAAUCAAAACUUAUUAUGAGAUCCUUUAAAAAAAAUAAAAAAUAAAAAUGAAUUUUUUUGAAUUAAAAAUAAAUAAUUAAUUUGUGUAUGACACGUGGUAAUAAACUAAUAUAAAUAUAUUAUCUAGAAAAUAAAAAUUAUUAAUAUAUAAAAAUUUAUAUAAAUAAAAUAUUCUUUUAAACACAAUUAAGAAAUUUAUAAACUAAGGGUCUGUUUGAUUGGCGUAUUUCAUUUUCCGGAAAACAUUUUCCCUCUUUUACGGUGUUUGAUUGACCAAAGGAAUUGAUUUUCCGGAAAAGCAACUUCAACACACGGGAAAAUCAAGCCCUUCUUUGCGUAAAAUGUCUUACAGAUUUUUUUUCCGUAAGACAUUUUCCGGAAAACACAGCUUCAACCUCUCAUUUCCUCCUCAUUUCCUCUCCGUCCAUCAACGUCAGCCUCUCCUCCUCAUCGGUGUGCUUCUUCUUCUUGGGUUAUCAACAGGUUCUGUUCUCCUUUUCUCUGUGUAUUAUUUUUGUUGAUCGUGAUUUUUUCUUGGGUGUGCCUUUCCUCCUUUUCUCUGCUGUUUUUCCUCCUCUACUUUCUUGAUCUAAUUUUUUUUUUGUUUCUUUGAUUGAGUUUUUAUUUCAGUUAUUUUCUAAUUUCAGUUUUGAUUGUUAAGGGUUUCUGCAAAUGGGUAGUUUUCUGCAAAUAUUUUCUGCAAAUCAGUUUCUGGGUUAACUGGAAAAUGGGUAAUUUGGAUACUUUAGCACCCCAUCAUGCAUGCGUAUGCUAUAUAGCUUCUGCAAUGUUUGCUAAAUUUCAUCUGUAAGUUCUCUUGACCUCCAACUUGGUCGAUUUAAGGAAGGAGAAAAGUAUGAAUAUUUUGGCUGAUCAUCAAUGUCUCAUUUACAUUCUUAUAAAAAAGAAUACAUUUUUUAACUAGAAGAAUAUCAGUCUUAUUUUAUCAUACAUUAUAGAUGGUCAAAAGUCAGCAACUGCAUUUGUUCUGCAUUUGUAGCUUUCAAUCAACUUGGAAGCUUAAAUGAGUGUCGAAACUUGUUCUGCAUUUGUAGCUUUUAAAGGUGCUUUAGUUGGAUGGUCAUGAUUAUCAUAUUGUUGCAAUUUAUUGUCUUGUUUUAUUAGUUAAUAGGAGUAAAUGUAAAAUGUUCAUUGGCUUUUAAAAUGUUGGAAUUCUUUGAAUUACUUGAAAUGCUUAAUGAUGUAAACUUGAAGUGCUUUUUUUUUUGAUAAAGAUGGUUACUGAUAUUAUUGGAUUCUUAUCAAUCUGGUUUUCUUUACUAAAGAACCUUGAUUUGUGUUCAAUGAUAGUGGGCUGAUGUUGCUGGCUUUGGAUGCUAGCCAGAUUCCUGCUUAUUUCAUACCUGCUUUGGGACCUGUUCCCAAGUGGUGUUCUUCGCUGGAAUCUCUUACGGUGUGUUUUUAACUUGUAUCCUAAUCAAUUUUUGUUUUAUCCUUUUAUUGGAUGUACUAUGUUGGGAUAUGCAGAUGUGGUGCACUAGUGUUUACUUUGUAUAUAUUUUACAGGAAGAGCUUGAGGAGGGUGGACAAACAAGCAUAUAUGACAACUAUAAAUUUUUAACAAAAGAGGAUCUUGAGAAGUUGAAUUUGACAAAUCUAAUUGGGACCAAUCUUCUGCGAGCCUACAUGCACGGGUUCUUUAUUGAAUUUCGUUUGUACAAAAAGGCAAGACUGCUAUUCUUUUUAUUAUUUCUUGUUAAGGAUAUCAUGCAGCUUAAAAACUCCGGAUAAUUGCAUUGUGUCACCUGCUGGAAAUUUGUCUGGUUGGGUGUGUGAAACACGAAAUAUCUAGAAGUAAAUAAAAGUUGAGAUGCAGAAACAAAAAAAAUGAGUUCAGAGUUGCUAGAUUAAAUUCAGAAAGAGAGUUAUGUAAUUUUUCUUUUUUCUGAUCAGAUAGUGCUUUCAAUGCUCAAUGUGGUUCUUUUGUACAUCUUCACUAUUUUGCUGUUUAAUAUUCAUAUUUUUACAUAUAUUUCAAUAUUCUUACUAGUACUCAUUGUGGAUAAUAUUUUUUUAAUUUAUAACAAUCAAUAUUGUAGCUUAUUAUUGAGUAUUAUUAUAAAUAAAUUAUUGCAAUAUAUGUAAAAACAAUUUUAAAAUAUAAAAAUUUAUUAAUAUAUAUUAAUAUAUGUAAAAAACAACUUUUCUGGAAAAUAUUUUCAGGAAAUCUGUCAAACAGCAGAAAAUAUUUUACACUGAUUCAAUCAAACACCAGAAAAUAUUUUCCAGUAAGUCAUUUUACAGAAAAGUAAAACAUUUUCCAGAAAUCAUUUUACGGAAAAUAUUUUACUGCCAAUCAAACAUACCCUAAUUAAUACACAAAUUACCAAUUCAGUAGUAUCCCAAGCAUGAAAAACGAGGCCAUGAGUAUUAAAUUGAAAACUUGAAGUUUACACCUUUGCCGAAAUGGAUCGAUGCCUGCCAUAAAUCACAUUUCUAUAAAUAUAGCCUCAUAAAACCAAGUUUUAUUUUUGGCAUAAUUAGCAGCAAUGGUAAUGAAAACCCAAUUUUGUUACGUCCCAUUUUGAGAAAUAUAAUGAUUUUUUUAAAAAAAAUUUGAGGACUCAGGUUGUAUAUAUAUAUUUAUCGGAAUAUGCUGUUUUUAGAGAGAAAAAUGAAAACGCACUUUAUAAGACGCGUUUUCAAGUCAAAGGUAACUUUCCCCCCAACAGUCACAAUUCCAAUAGCUACAAUACCCCAACAACCAUAUUUUUUUCCUAUAUAAACCCCUCCAAACUUCAUUCUUUUCAAUUCAAACUCAAUUCUCUCGAUAAUUUUGUUUUAAAUCUUUCUCUGAAUCCUAUUCUUUUCGAUUUUAUUUUAUUCCUUAUAAUUUGUAAAAUAAAAAAAUCAGCUUAUUCGUUUGGAUGACAAUCACAUCUCCGACGUUCAAUUAUAAAUGAUAAGAAAAUAUUUUUAAAUUAUUUAAUUUUAAUUAGUUAACUAUUAUGCUAUUAACAUUAUUAAUUUUUUUAUGUUUAUAUACUCAGAUCGAAGAUCAGAUUUUGGAGACGUGCAUACACAAUUUAAGCAAGAGUGGAUCCGUUUUCAUUUAUGGAAACUUGCGAUGUCACAUCCCGAAAAUCGGGUUAGUAGAAUUGGGUUUUUAAGUUGAGGGUUAGAGUCCGGAAUUAAAAUUAGGGUCAUAGAUAAGUAAUUAAAGUAUUAAAGUAACACAAUUGGGUUUUUUUAUUAGCUAGCUUAAAACAAAAUUUAAUUUUGAGGUCUAAUUUGAAAAAAAUGGAUUUUAGUUGGGUUAGGAACUAAUUGAAAAUGGAGAGAAACAGAGAGUGACCAAAAUGGCAAAUUAGUCUUCUACCUACAGUAUACCACUGUCUUCUUCUUUCUUAAACCAACUUAUCCUUUCAAAUUUAUUAACCUCUCAAACACUAAAACAACCCCCAAUUUCAAAAGAAAAUCACGUUUUCAACAAAUUAGAGUUGUAGAUCAUCGUUUUCAACAAAUUAAGGUAAUAUUCUAACUUUUUAGGACUAAAUAAAGAGUUCUUUUAAUUCAAAUUGAGUUUUAAACGAUUGUAUGAGGAUUUAUUUAGAUUUAAUGUUUUCAAAGCAAGCUUUAAUUCAAAAAUGACAAAUCUCAAAAUCUUGAGUAAACUAGUGUUUUCAAAGUUGUUUUUGGUUCAUUCUAACCUAAUUAGAAGGUAUUCCAUCUCAAUUUGAUAGAUCCUAAUCGAUUUUUUAAGAAUCAAGCAUUUUCCCUCUUUUACAUGUUUUUGGAAGCUUGAUUUUUUCAAAAAUUUUAGAACCAUGGAUUUAGGUAAAAUUGAUGGUUUAAAUAUGAAAUUAAAUGAUAUUUAAGAUAUUUGAAAUCAAAUUGAGGAUUAUAAAUGAGAUUAUAAUGUCGAAACUUUAAUUUCGACAAAACUAGCUAGUAUUUGGUAAUCAGAAAUGAGAGGCUUGAAUUGUGUUUUCCUUGCUGUGUGGUUGCGUUCAAGGUUAUUUUUAAUGAUCUUGGAAAGGGUUUGUUGUGUGUGAAAAGUGUCAGAUUAAUUGGGAGCCACUACAAGCAAGUCAAAAGGUAAGGAAAAGUUUGUUUGAGCUUUCGGUUAGUAAGCAGAAGCGUGAUUGGUGAGUGUCUGAAGUCUCUGGUGGUGUGCGCAAUUCGUAUUGUUAAUCGAGAUCUUAGGAUUAGCCUAAACCCUUAUCCUAUGUUUCAACAGUAAGCUUUCUUCUAUUCUUUUUUGCCUUGUUGUAAAAUUAUGCCUAAUAAGGAUGAGUUGUGAUAUGUGAUGCUAUUACAGCAGGUAAUAUAUGAAAUUACGUGAAUAUGAUAUAUGAUAUAUGAUAUACUUAUUUUAAUACACACAUAUGUGGUCUGAUAUAUGAUAGCUCAAUGAGCAUUAUUGUGCCACUUAAAGUGCAAAUAAAUGUGAAUUCGAUAAGCAUGAAUUGUGUAUGAGAUUGUAAUGUGAAUUGAUGAAUAUGAACAGAGGUUAUAUGCAUUAAAACAGUGGUUAAAUAUGUGUAAUUCUGGAUAUUUUGGCCUUGUGUUCUCUUAAAACUAUUGGAUAUGGUUGGCAUGUCAUAGGAUUAUGAGUACUCAUCCUUGUGUUUGGGAUUUGGGUGUUGAGGCCCCGGGACAUGUUGGAGAGAUAAGAGAAUGUCGAGCUAAGCUCUAUUUAUCGGGAAAUUUUGGUGUGUUGGAGAGUGUUUAGCUUAAUGCUACACUUAUGGGACAUGUUAGACACUUUAAGUAAUUGGUGUGUUGGAGAUCCGUUUAUCCAAUGUGUGGUGAUAAAGUCCACUUUUAUGUUUCAUAAUCUCAAACUGCCAAAUUAUCAUUAUUUGAAUUAUAUAUAUAUAUGAAAUAUGUUUUAUGUAAAUGCAUGUGAGAGUAUAUGCUAGGCUUGUGAGAUAAUGAAGCGUGAUUAUAUUAUUUUGACUUGAUGAAUAUAUGGUUGCGAAUGUGCUUUAGUAUGCUCUUGCUUAACUUAUGAUGUCGUGCAUGCUUUGUGGUAAUUUCGAACAUUCACUGAGCUUAUUUAAGGUCACACACUCCUCAUUCACUGAGCUUAACUUAAUUUCGUAUAGAUACCUAACAUACAAAUAUCAAUACUGGCCUAUUUGGUAUUAAUACUUACGUUGGAUUUUUAUCUCUUAAAGUUUAUUAUGGUAGCCAUUUUCCUUAAUUAUUAUGGUGAAUGUAUUUAUAUAACUUUCGAUAGUUGUUGUAGUAUCUUGUAAUUCGGGUUUGACGACUAAACCGAGUGAGGGGUGUUACAUGUGAGAUGCGAGAUUCUUAUACGUGGCUCAUAUGCUUGGGAGGACUAAGUUGGACCCCCUACUUAUUAGUGCUUUGGUGGAAAGAUGGAGGCUGAAGACAGACAUAUUCCAUCUUCUUUAAAGUGAGUGUACAAUUACACUCGAGGAUGUUGGUUUACAACUCGGUCUAUCGAUCGAUGGGGAAGUCAUUACGGGGCCAGUGGUGAGUGUCAAUUGGAGUGCAACAUGAGAGAAACUACUAGGAAAUGUGUCGACCAAGUUUAAGGGUAGUCAGACUGAGAUGGGAUGAUUGGAUGACAACUUCAAAACUGUCGAGGCUUUCGCAUGUGACAUUGAAAAACAAUAAUUCUCGUGCUGAUAAUACUCUAGAAUGACAUAUUUUUAUGUAUUUAUUACAUAUUUAUUUUGAGUAUGAUCCUACUAAUUUGAGCUAUUUAUGGUUUUUGAUCUUGUAGGGACUAAAUUGAAGGUAAAAGGAAAUUUAAGGGAAAAAGUGUGAAUUUAAAGAUAAAAUGGGCCAAUAAAUUUAGGGGAAAAAGCAUGAAUUUAAAGAAAAAAUGGGCCAGUAUGCGAAAUAGGAAAGAAGUGGUGCCUAAAAUGCAAAGUGUGAAAGACUUGGGGGUAAAAGUUCAAAGAAGAGAUUUUAUAGCAAAAGACUCUAUUUAAAUUUAAAUUAUAUUUUAGGAUUAUUGUAAAGAUUAUUAUUUAGAUUUAAUUUCAACUUUUUAUCUUUAUUUAUCUUUUAGAAUUUAAAUAGGAACAAACUAGGUUUUCUAAGUACUAUAAAUAUGGGAUGGAGUCACACAAAUUUCAAUCAACUUUUCUAAAACAGCUCCAUCUACCAAAAAGCUCUAACUUUUGUUCCUUUCAUUUAUAUUAAGUUUAUUUCUUUUUCCCCCAAAAGCAUGAACCACUAAAUUUAUCUAGUCAAAGGUUGUCGAGAUUUCCCAAAAAGGGUUCAUGAGGCUUAGAAUCUGCAUUUAGCCUUCUCAAUGAAUAUUUAUCAUUUCUCCGCACUACGGGACUGACGCUUUCAUCCAUGUCCCUUCAAAAGUUGCAUCUUAUGUAAAGGCGGCCACUUUGUAUGUUUUGGGAAGGUUGCACAGUCAGUUUGUUAGCUUAUUGUGUCAGUGGUUGUUGAGCUUAAGAGAGAAAAUGGCGUGGCAUUCGCCAUCGAGAAGUGAUGAUCUAGUGUAAGACGGUCCCACAAAAGUGAUGGUUGGCUAGAGUCUUGUUCCUCUAUAUCAUAAGUCUAAAAUCUAAGUGGAUAUGGAGGUCGUAAGUGUCCUUUUCCACUAUAACUGGCUUAUUCUGUUAUGAGAAAGGUCAUCUAAAAGUCUAGGAUUGAACCUACAGAGGAUCGAGAUAACCGAAGGCUGAAAUCUCUCCAUCAAAGACUCUAUUUUUACAAUUUUAAUUUCAAUUUGCACAAUCUCAAUUCAUCCAAACUUUUAAUUCUGUUUUUUCAUUUUUUUUAGGUUCACCAUUUUUCUUGGGCACAACUCUGCCCGGGAUCUCAAGGAACAGGAAUUUGUGUAAAUCUAGUCCCUGAGGAUUUGACCCUACAUCCCUUAUACUAUUCGUUUUGUUAUUUUAUAGGGAUAAGAAAUUUUUUGUGCUUUCAUCGACACAUCAAAUUUUGGCGUCGUUGCUGGGGACUGGUACCGUACUAAUCUUGUUUCUUUUGUUUCUUAUAACUAGACCUACUUCAGGUAUUCUUGUGUUUGGUUCAGAAAUACAGAAGACUGCGGGAGCCAAUCGCAAGGAAACGAAGUUACAGAAAAAGUAGUCAAGGGUUGUAGGGACUGAAAGUAAUCCACCGACGAAAAUAAAAAUAGACGACGAGAUUGAGUCUAAGGUUAACGAAAACCCUACUUAAACACUAGAAAACGAAAGAAUCGGAGUCGAUCCAACAGAAGAAGUGCUUAAUGUUAGGGUUAAUGAGAACCCAAAUCUAACACAUCAACCAAUGGCUCAAACAAUCCAGCAAACGGCUGAAACUCAUGCAGAACAAAAACCAUUAUGCAUUGCGUAUCCUACUAUGGAUACUGAUUUUGAAUUGAAGUCAGGAUUAAUCCAGUUACUGCCAACUUUUCGUGGGUUGCAAAACGAAAAUCCCCACAAACAUCUGAAAAAGUUUCUUAUGGUUUGUCUUAGCAUGAAACCUCAGGGUGUAACUGAGGAUCAAAUCAAAUUGCAUGUAACACCCCCUUACCUGAGACCGUUUUUGGAGUCGAGCACGAGGCGUUAUCUGACUUAACUUACUAGUUCGGAACACAAAAAUUUGCUUUUAAAAUUAAUUUCACUAUUCCCAACAAAAUUUUCCACCUGCGCAAUUGUUACUAAUUUAAUUAUAACUCGAGUUAAAAAACUAAAAAUUUAUAUUCAUAAAUUUUUUAUGAAACUAGACUUAUAUACCUUCUUACCAUAAAAUUUCUAGAAUUUUUGGCUUAGCCAAUUAGUACAUUUUAUUCGUUAAAUUCUUCCCUGUUUCACAGCUUGACAGUUCUGACCUCUUGUCGCUAAAAAUCAAUUAUCUCAUUGUACAAAAUUAAUAUAAUGUUAUAAUUUGAUUAUUUUGAAAAUAUACUCACUAAGGAAUCUAGACAUAUAAAUUAUGUCCCAUAAUUAUUUAUGUACAAUUUUUAAUGAAUUUCUAAAGUCAGAACAGAAGACUUCAAAAACCAUUCUGCCCCUGUCUCACUAAAAUUCAAAUAUCUCAAAAUAUAAAAUUCCUUUUCCUACACCGUUUCUUUCAUGUAAAAAUAUACUUGAUAAGAUUUAAUUCUAUAUAUAAUUCACUCUCUAAUUCCAUUUCUACUAUUUUUGGUGAUUUUUUAACAUCACGUCACUGCUGCUGUCCAAAAACUGCUUCUUUGUAUUAGCUACCAUUUAAACAUAUAUAACACCAAAACAUGUUCUUUACUAACCAUUUCAAUAGCUAAUCUUUAGCCAUAUCAUAUGAACAUACUCAAAAUGAAUAAGUCUCUAUACAUGCCAUAGCUUCAAAUGUUUUGAAAUCACAUAAUACCAAGAUGUCUGUUGAUAGUGUGAUACGAAGCUCCGACGAUCCCCAAUUCGAGUAAGCUCAAAACACUAUAAAACAAAGGAAAUGAAGAAAGGAGUAAGCUACUAAUAGCUUAGUAAGUUACAUGUAAACAAUAAGCACUCAUUUAAUAAUUAACAUUUUUUAACAUAUAACUAAUCAAUACAUUUCUUAGCAAUUUCAAUCACUUAUAUAUGCACAAUCUUACCAAAUUCACUUGCAUAUACAUUUACACACUUAACCUUUAUCACAUAUGCUCAUUCUUUCAAAUGUACCUGCAUACACACCUCAUUCAUAUUCACUUUAACUCAUUAUUAAUCUCGUUGAACACUCGGAAUAUACACAGAUACAUAGAGAGUUAGCACAUAAGUGCCACACUGAUAUGUAGCCGAAGCUAUCACUGAAAUGUAGCCGAAGCUACCACUGAUCAAUAAUACUGGAAAUGUCCACGGGCCUGCUCAUACAAGCUGUCAGGUACCUGCAACACAUGCUAGAUCACCCAGCACCCGGGACUCACUGUAACACUGGUCUCUAGUGACAUGUCACUUGUAUCCACUUCUAUUCCUAAGUUCAACCGGGAAUUUACACUUAACACUUUAUUUUAAACACUUUAUCACUUGAAUAAUUCAUGAACAAUUUUCCUUCCACAUUAAAUAUUAAUUCACAUAUCAAAUAUAAUUCACAAUUUAUAAAAAUAUAUUGCUAUUAUUUACACGUAACUUACCUCGGAUGCAAAACGACUAUUUUCGUAAAUUAGUCGAAAACCUUCUCUUUUCCCCGAUCACUUUCACUAUUCCUUUUUCUUGAUCUAUAUUAACACAAUUUAAUAUAUUUUAUCAACAUUCCAUUCAAAUACAAUUCAUACACAAUAUUUUGGCAAACUUAUAUUUUUUCCCAUAACUUUUCAAAAUUACACUUUUGCCCUAAAGCUCGUAAAAAUAAAAUUCACUAAAUUUCUUAAAUUUUAAACCUCACUAAAUCAUAUUUCAUGCUCAUAACAGCCCUCAAUUUCACAAAAUCACAACUUUAUGCACACUUUACUAUCUUUCACAAUUUAGUCCUUUUUCAAUAUUUUUAUCGAAAUUCAUCUAGUAAAACUUGUAAUUAGCACUUCAAUCAUUCAUUAUCUAUCAUAACUCAUCAAAUUACAACUAUAUCAUAAAUGGGUAAAUUUUUUAAACUUUAAUUUCAUUUAAAAUAAAUGGUAGAAACAUGAAAUUCAAGCUUCAAUAAGCAUAAAAAUACGAAAAUAAUUAAAAACGGGGCAAGAAAUCACUUACAAUUGAGCUUAGAAAAAUCAAGAACCCUAGGUAUGAUGACAUGGAAUUUUUGGCAGCAAGGGUCUAAUUCGAAGAAGAUGAACACUUGUUUUCAUCUUAUUUUGUCUUUUAUUCAAUUUUGACAAAAAAGCCCUUGACCCACUUACUUAGAUAUUUUUCUAGAAUUACCCUUAUGUGUCCAUAACACUAAUUUAUGGUCUACUUGCCACAUAAACACUUCCAAUUUCUUGUAAUAAUUCAAUUAAGUCCUUUAAUCACUAAUUAGACACACUUUGCAUUUUUCUCAAUUUAGUCCUAAAAAUUCAAUUAGGCACUAAAUCAUUAAAAUUUCCUAUCCAUAUUUUCACACAAUAUUUCAAUCAAUCGGUAAUUAAUAAAAAUUUAUAAAAUUAAACUAUUUCACUUUGAAUUUGUGGUUACGAAACCACUAUUCUGAUUAGGCCCUAUUUCGGGCUAUCACAUUGCCUACUAGGUUAACACGUUCCAUAAGGGGCAAGCUUAGAAGGAAGCUCAAUAUUACAUUUGGGAUGAACCGUACUUGUGGAAACACUAUUCAAACUAGAUAAUAAGACAAUGUGUUCCAGAAACCGAGGUAGCUUCUAUCCUUACUUUUUGUCGCACAAAAGCUUAUAGAGGUCACUUUGGCUCUAAAUGGACUACUCAUAAGGUAUUGGAGUAUGGGCUAUACUGGCCCACAAUUUUUUGAGACGCAUAUAAUUUCUGUAGGUCCUGCGAUAAAUGCCAACAAACAGGUAACAUAAGUAAGUGAAAUCUAAUGCCCCUAUCUCCAAUUCAUGUAUGUGAGAUUUUUGAUGUGCGGGGCAUCGACUUCAUGGGUCCGUUUAUUUCCUCAUUUAGAAAUAUGUAUAUAAUUCUUGUAGUAGACUAUGUUUCUAAGUGGAUAAAAGCAAAUCCUACUCGCAAUGACAAUGCUAAAACUGUCGUAAAGUUUCUAAAAAGAACUAUUUUUUCUAAGUUUGGCACACCUUGAGCCUUGAUCAGUGAUCGUGGAACCCAUUUUUGCAAUAAAGUCAUGGUGGCACUUAUGAAAAAAUAUUGUGUUCACCACUAUAUAGCUAUAGUAAACAAACGGCUAAGCGAAAGUCUCGAACAGAGAAAUCAAGACCAUUUUAAAGAAAACAGUUUGGCCUAUCGAACGACGUAUAAGAGACCAAUUGGCAUGACCCCAUAUCAGCUUGUUUUUGGCAAGGCUUGUCAUCUUCCGGUAGAAUUAGAACAUAAGGCUUACUGGCUUGUACGACAACGUAACAUAGAGUUAGAACCCGCGAUGAGGGCAAGAAAAUUAGACAUCCAAUAAUUAGAGGAAAUUCGUAAUGAUGCCUAUGAUAAUGCUCGUAUUAUAGGGACAAAACAAAAUUGUUCCAUGACAAGAAAAUAUCUCGGAAGCAUUUUUUGAUAGGACAAAAAGUGUUACUUUUACAACUCUGUGUUAAAAUUGUUCCCAGGUAAGCUUCGGUCUCAAUGGCAAGGACCUUUAUUGUAACCGAAUUAUUCACACGUGGUGUAGUUGAAAUAAAGAGUGAAGAGUCAGGAAAACGAUUCACAGUCAAUGGCCAACAGUUGAAACCAUUUUACGAGAAUUUUCAAGCCCACACAGUUGGAAAAAUUUAGCUAGAACCUCUAUAGUACCAUUUGGGGCGUCAAGCUAACGACAUAAAACAAGCACUUAAUGGAAGGCAACCCAAUUUUUAUUUUUAUUAUAUUAUAUUAUUAUAUUAUUAUAUUAUUAUUUAUCACUUUAAUUUGUUUGGAUAAUAAUAAAUUUCUCUUCUUCUAUCUAGGUAAACCGGCGAGAAAAAAACUCAGGAAUUGACAUGUUUUCACAAACAUCUCUUAUUUUACCCUAAUCCAAGUAGGUAUAGAGCAUCCUUACUUCAUACUUACCCAAAACCUGCAUCCAAGCACCCUUCCUUCUACAGCUUCAAACCCUAUACUUUUCUCUAUUUUUACCCAAAAAAAUAACAGCCACCGUUAACCUUCUCCCUCAUCCCACCACCGAUUUUUCCCACCACUAUGGUUAGGACUAGAGGCCGUGCCAUCGUCGAACCCUCCUUCGCUGUAAACAGCCACCAGCGCCAAUUUUUGGUACCCCAACACGUCAACUUAAACAACGUCGCACCAUUCCCCUCUCCCCUUCCUCCACCGUCGCCCCCACCACUCACUUCACACGGACCAUCGCCACCACCAUAUUAGGCCCCGACCCCUCUCGACGUUGGCCUUGUUGACAGCCACAAACUCUUUCGACCCAACCAGCGGUGGCCUUCACCGAUUCCACCUCUGACUCCGACAUCGACACGCACGAACGACCCACAGGCUUCGGCGCCUCAGGGAGUCACGACGACCAACGCUAGUUACCUACCCGCGACAAGACGUACCGGUUUUGAGUAAAUAUUUUGCCACCAGAAUGCCAUUUAAACGGUAAUUUAAUGUUUGAUAAUGCUAUCAAUUGGGACAUGUAUGAUUGGUUACGACAUAAGUAAAUAGUGCAUUGCAAAUGUUUAUCACUAUUUGUUUUGAAUGCUUUGCAUAUUAACACUGUUGUUACCGAUUAUUUUCACAAUAUUGGUUGGGUUGGUAAUUUUGAUAUCACUCACUACACUUAUUACGAACUAGUUUUUGAAUUUUAUUCCACUUUCCAUUUUCAACAGCACGGUCAAUUCUCAUUGGACACACCUGGCAUUAUAACAUUUUGAUUGCUUGGUACCACACAUAGUUUGUCAUUUAUUGAUUUUAAUAUUUCAUUGGCUUUUGUAAUAGAGGAUUAUGCUAUGUCCACUGAUUAUGAGAACAGUUUGUGUACUUUUUCAGCAGACUUCAAGGCUAUCGGGGCUUUUGCGUUAUUGACAGACAAUGCUGAAACCACAUAUAGCCCUAAAACAUCAAAAGAUUUAUGGUUUCCUAACCCAGCCUUAUGCUACAUGCAUCGUUAUUUGGCUUAUGAUUUCUCAGGCCAGAAAGAUACACCGACUACAGUCUCGAAGACGAAAUUAUUCUUAUUAUGGUGUAUAUACAUCGAUCGUUCGGUAAAUUUGGGCUAUUGGUAUGCGUUUCAAUUUGAGCAUAUUAAAAAUACAAAGCAUCCUCUAAUUUUAGGCUCUUUUAUUACACUUUUAUUCUUUUUACAUGGCUCGAAUGCUCCUAUUUCAGACUAACAUAUUGCUUGCCAAGCCGAUCCAUUAGAUGCCUGCUGUCUCGACUCAAUGGGAUUUCUUGGCACUCCUACUUCCUUUCGUUUUGUUCCUCUAGGUACCCGAUCUUCAAUAGUUGAACGAAUCUUUAGGCGACAAAAUCCGAACAAGGUACCCAAUCAAAACCAACCUUUUAUGACCAUCGAGCAAUGAUUGGAAGCAUUGAGGCACGACUCGAAACCUUCGGCCAACAGAUGGCUAAUCUCAUUACAGCUCUACGCGCAUGACAGUGACUACAUGGGAAGUUUUUCUAAACUUUUUUCUUUUCUUCCACCUAAUUUUUUCUUUUCUUUCACAUGAAGGGCAAUGUGUUUUAAGUAGGGGGAGGCAUUCCUAAUUGUCUUUGAUGUUUUAUCUGAUGUUUUGACACUAUUACCACUGCCUUAUGCUUGUUUUGCCCACAUUUAUUUUUUUAGUAUAUCCUACCCUUUUUCAUGCCCAAGAUUUUGACCAAAAAUUAUCCAUUGUUUGAUUUACGAGCAUGAUUCAUAUCUACUAAGUUAGUUAUGAUUUUGCUAUAUUGAUUUCAUCUCUACUGUUUUAUUUCUAUUAAGCUAAAAUAAUUGUGAUUAAUAGAGUUAACCAUAUCUUACUUUUAGUAAAUUCGAUUAAGUUUAAAUGCAAAGAGGACACUUAAUAAAAUUGCAUGCUAAAAUUAUGUUCAUGACUGUUAGGUGGUUGCUGAAACUUAUUUUUGACACUUGAUUAUUUUUCCUAGUCCUCCAAAAUUAAAAUUUUAUUUCAUUGUAAUAAUAAAUUUUGAUGUCUCUGUGGUUAUAAGUGCAGCUUAAAAACGUGACUAGCUGAGUAACCGGGGUAGGGUGCUUGGGUUGUCAUCCUACUUCGCAUCAAAAGGUCGUGUGACGUGUUAGGUAAAACUCCGCUAAUCGGAAUUAAACAAAAAUUUUAAGAAUAUGUUAGGCUGAGUAACUGGGGUGGGGUGCUUGGCUGUCAUCUCUCUUCGCAUCAAAAGGUUCAAUAUAUUCUUAAGAAAAAAAUAUAAAUAUAAUAAAUUAGGAAUAUGUUGGGCUGAGUAACCGGGGUGGGGGCUUGGUUGUCAUCUCUCUUCCCAUCAAAAGGUUUAAUAUAUUCUUAAGCAAAAAAGAAAAAAAAGAUGUAUUAAUAAUAAAAUUGCAUUUGGGGAGUAAAAGUGGAAACAAAUAGGGUGUCUUGGUAAGUUUAGUAAAUUACCUAAUUUUCAUGAAAUAAUCCAAGUUGAUUAUUGUGUGAUUAAAUUUGAAUACUUUUUUAGUUUUACUUAAAGCAAGCUAAAUGUACUCUUUAUUUUUCAUAUGCAUUAUGCCUAAUUUUUAUAAAACUUUGGAGUGAUAUUUCUUUUAUGGUAAAAACUUAAUUUCACAGUGGAUAGGAACCAUACUUGAGGACAAGUAUGGGCUAAGUAGGGGGAAUUUGAUAAUACUCUGGAAUGACAUAUUUUUUUGUAUUAAUUAUAUAUUUAUUUUGAGUAUGAUCCUUCUAAUUUGAUCGAUUUAUGGUUUUUUAUCUUGUAGGGACUAAAUUGAAGGCAAAAAGGAAAUUUAGAGGCAAAAAGCCUGAAUUUAAAAAUAAAAUGGGCCAGCAUGCGAAAUAGGAAAGAACUUCAAAGAAGAGAUUUUAUAAACACAAGACUCUAUUUAAAUUUGAAUUAUAUUAGGAUUAUUGUUAAGAUUAUUAUUUAGAUUUAAUUUUAGCUUUUAUCUUUAUUUAUCUUUUAGAAUUUAAAUAGGAACAAGCUAAAUUUUCUAAGUACCAUAAAUAGGGGAUGGAGUGACACAAAUUUCACUCAUCUUUUCUGAAAAAGCUCCCUCUACCAAAAAGCUCUAGCUUUUGUUCUUUUCAUUUAUUCAAUAAAAUUCCAUUUUUAUUAAGUUUAUUUCUUUUUCCCCAAAAAACAUGAGCCACUAAAUUCAUCUAGCCAAAGGUUGUCGAGAUCCCCCAAAAAGGGUUCAGUAGGCUUAGAAUCCGCACUAAGCCUUCUCAACGAAUAUUUAUCGUUUCUCCGCACUAUAGGACUGGCACUUCUGUCCAUGUCCCUUCAAAAGUGAUCUUUUCGUCUUAUGCAAAGGUGGCUGCUUUGUAUGUUUUGGGAAGGUUGCACAGUUGGUUCAUUAACUUACUACGUCAGUGGUUGUCGAGCCUAAGAGAGAAAAUGGCGUGGCAUUCGCCAUUGAGUAGUGAUGAUCUAGUGUAAGACGGUCCCACAAAAGUGACGGUUGGCUAGAGUUAGGUUCCUCUAUAUCGUAAGUCUAAAAUCUAAGUAGAGCUGGUGGUUGUAGGCGUCCCCUUCCACUAUAGCUGACUUAUUCUGUUAUGAGAAAGAUCAUCUAAAAGCGUAGGAUUGAACCCAAGGAGGAUCGAGAUAACCGGAGGCUGAAAUCUCUCCAUCAAAGACUCUAUUUUCUCAACUCUAUUUAUUUUUACAAUUUCAAUUUCAAUUUACACAAUCUCAAUUCACCCAAACUUUUAAUUUUAUUUUUUAUUUUUUUCUAGGUACGCUAUUUUUCUUGGGUACGACUCUGCCCGGGAUAUCGAGAAACAGGAAUUUGUGUAAAUUCAGUUCCUGAGGAUUUGAUCCUACCUCCCUUAUACUAGGGAUAGGAUAUUUUUUGUGCUCUCAACGAUACAUCACGUGUUCAUUCAACUUGAGGUUGAUUGUGGGUUUGCUUAUGCCAGAUAAAUCUCAAAAUCUGGUACAUUUAAGGUGACUACUACUAGUAGUCAAGUUGAAAGAAGUGGGACAACUUAGUUGGGGAUCAGUGGUGCUGGAAACAAUGUACCGAGAAAUGUGUCAAGCGACGAAACCAAAAAUAGUUAAAAUCAAUGGUUGUAUGCUCCUUUUUUCAAUCGUGGGCAUGGUAUCGAUUACCAUUUUUACACCCCCAAGUUGACCCCCUUACGAAUUCCAACUCGUAAUAUGGUAAAAUUUAUUUGAUAAUAUCAUUAUCAUUGUAAUUUUUCAUUGUUGUAAUGUUGAAAUGAAAUAUUAUUGGAAUAGGUGGAACAAUCGCACGAGGCACACAUGUAUACCGACCGAGUUCGAGGAUAUCCGACUAGCUUUAAAUCAACAAACCAAAGAUGAGGUUAGUUUAUGAAAUUCAAAGUUAUAUAAUAUUUAUUUCAGCAUUUGAAAUUAAAUAUUAAGCACGUGAUAAAAUUUAUAAAUUCAUACUACAGUUUGUAUGAUGCUAUAUGUGGAUUCGAAAAUUCAAGAAUGCAUCCCGGAUUAAUUUUGUCUAAUCGUGUAACGCCUCAAAAUUCUUUAAAGUUUUGGGUAAUUAUUUAUGUCAAGUAAACUAAUUUUCUUUAGCGAUUAAGUGUUACGGAUGUGUACUUGAGGUUCUAUGUUUGAUUCCUUUUCCUUGAAUUUUGAGUAUUUUUAUUCCUAUACCUAGCUUGUCACGUUAAGGUUAUCUUUAAUUUUUCGUAAGUUAUUAACAAGAAUGAGCCUACUGGUUUAGUGGUAAUGCCUUAGCUUACCUAUGGGUCCUAAGUUUAAAUCUCUUAGUGCCUAAAACGAAAUUAUUUUUUGUUUCCCUCAUCCCUAAAACAUCUCAUGUUGUCGUCCCACUUUUUCCACUCCCUCCUCAUUCUUCAUUUUCUGUUUGCUAAGUUUUCUCUCUGACAUUUUCCCCUCCACUUUUCCAUUUCUCUUUCAUUUUGACAAAUUUCUCCAUAAACAAACCAUAGUGAUUUUUCUUUCUUUGAACCUUUCUUUGUUGUCAUUCCUCUGCUACUGUUUAUUGUCGCAUUAUCUCUAUUGUGUCGUUGUUUCAUUUAUGUUGUUUUCAGUGCGGUGUUUUUGAACGAGGAGUUUGUAUUUUCGUCUCAAUGUAAGUACUGUAUGUGCAUUUUUCCUUGUGAUAAGGUUAAUUAUUUCUUUUUUAUGUGAAGGGUAGGAGGUUUUAAUUGAUCUAUAAUCUUUGUUUUUGAUCGUUUUUUGGUUCUUAUAGUUGAGGAUCUUGCAAUGGUUACCCCUCCAACAAGUUGAGUGUAGUGGGAAUCAUUCUUAUUCGAGGGUAAGUGGUUGAAUACCCUAGAUUGAGGUUGUUUUUUUGUAGAAUUUGUAAGGGUCGAAUGCCUUAGCUGCAUUUUGGUCGAAUACUUUAAUUGAGUAAGGGUCGAAUGCGUGUUUGGUUCUUGAGUGUCUAUAUGUUUAAUUAAUUAAGUGGAUGUCGUGUAUAGGUUUCGGCUCGUUGCAAUAGUAAUAACAUCUCAGAAACACUCAGGUGUGUGUUCUAACCCAGAAAACUCUGGAAAAAAUCAUGGAAAACUGGAAAAUGCAUGAAAAACCAAAGGUGACAAUCGACGCUACACGACCAUGUGUCUAGCCAUGUGCCCGAUCGUGUGAGCAGGCACAUUUUCAUAGCUCAUGUGGGCAUCUAUAUUCACAACUUGUGUAAACAAUUUUAUCCUACGUAUCCAAAGUAAAUUCGCUAUAGUUCUUCAGGUAAUAAAUGAAAUAUUCUUAAUGAAUAUAAAUAUAUAUUCUCCUUGAUUUGAGCAUGGAUCCUUAGGUUCUUAAUGCCAAAGAUCUUAUAUGUUUUAUGUUUAAGCUUAUGCUAUUGAACUAACCAUUUUGAUGGUGGCAUGGAUUGUUUAAGGUGCCAAGGAAUUCAAAAAUUCCUGUAAUUAAGUUUCAAUUCUUGAGCAUAUUAUUUGUUGGGUAAGUUGUAUAAUAUUCAUAUUUAUAUAUGUGUAUGUAUAUCAAAACUUGUAUUGUCUAAUAUUAUAUAUAUUUAUAAGUUUGAAUGUAUUCGUUGUCAUUUUUUAAGUGACACUAACUUAUUGAAUUAAAAAAUAAAUCUCAUCUUUUAUAAAACAAAUAAUUAUAAACACAAACUAUCCUCCUUUUAAAUCCAUUAUCCUAAAAUUUAUCAAUUUAUUUUGAGAAAGAAAACCAAAAAUAUAAUAUUUUAUUAAUAUAAAUAUAAUUUUUCAACCACCAACCAGGUCUCACUAUAUCUAAUGUAUAUGAAAAAAUUUAAUCAAUAUUUUAACAACUAAGUUAGUGGUCAAGUCAAUCAGAUCAUCAGCUCCAUCAUCAAUCUAAUAAUUAAUUAAAUGAUUAAAAUAUUUUAAAAUUAAAAAAUAUAAAACAAAUUCAAUCAUCAAUUUUUUAUUCCAAUUUUCGAUUUUUUUACCACCUUCAAACAGUUCACUUAGACACCGACUCAACUGGAAAGAAAUUGCUUGGUUCCUUCUCGUGCAAACAAUGCGUAAGAGACUAUCCAUAUAUACAUAUACGGUAAUACUACCCAUACUUUCUUUGGCACAUUGUUAUAUCAACUACUUUUCAUAUAAUAAACUAUCAAGUAACCCAAGUUAGUAACCUAAUUAAAGUUAAACCGAUGGCCGCAGUCUCCAUUAAUUUGAGCUUCAGACCAAGCUUUUUUUCGUCCACAAAUUUUGACCCAAGUCGAUAAACUGCCUUGUUCUUGCAUUAGAGAACCAUAACUCUUUAACCUUAAAUUCUCACAGUCCCUUUUAUUUUCUCUCAAAUCAAGGAGGGGGAGGGGGGGAUCUCAAGUUUUUGUAGGACAUUUUGUGUGCAAAAGACGGCUAUGGAGUACUCAAUUGUUUCUGAGUUUGAAGGGACUCUUCUGAAAGACCAGGACCCUUUCUCCUACUUCAUGUUGGUGGCAUUCGAAGCCUCGGGUUUCAUCAGGUUCACUUUGUUGCUGUUGACUUGGCCAGUGAUUCGGUUUCUCGAUGUGUUGGGCGUGGGAGAUGUGGGGUUGAAGUUGAUGGUGUUUGUAGCAACGAUGGGGCUUCGGGUUUCGAAGACUGAAUUGGUGUCUAGAGUUGUUUUGCCUAAGUUUUAUAUGGAUGAUGUUGAUAUGGAGGCUUGGAGAGUGUUUAGUAGGUAUGAUAAAAGAGUUGUGGUGACGAAAAUGCCUAGGAUUAUGGUGGAAAGGUUCGUGAAAGAGCAUUUACGAGCCGAUGUGGUUGUCGGAAGUGAACUUGUGGUCAACCGGUUCGGGUUUGCUACAGGUUUUGUUAACGGUGAUAUCGGUUCUAUCUCUAGUAAAGUUGCCAAGUUGUUUGUAAAUGAUGAGCUUUCCACGCAACCACGGCCAGCGGGUGGAAAGCUUUGGACCCGAUCUUCUUCUUCAUGAACCCUAGACCGUUUUACGAAGUGACAUUCUUGGACCAGUUGCCAGCGGAAGCUACAUGUUCGUCAGGGAAAAGCCCGCACGAUGUCGCUAAUUAUGUGCAAAGAAUCUUGGCCGCUACGUUAGGGUUUGAGUGCACAAAUUUUACGAGGAAAGAUAAAUACAUAGCAUUGGCUGGAAAUGACAAAACAGUUUCAUGCACUUCUCUUGAAACGUGGUGAGCACAUUUAAACCUUUUCUUCAAUGAAAGAAAAAAAAAAGAGAAUUUUUUGUUAAUUUAUUGGAAUAAAUUUAAUUAAUUGUGUUUUUUGGCCGGGUUGUUAAUUUGUAAGGAUGAUUUGUGGAAUUGUUGAAUAAUUUGUGAGGAUGAUUUGUGGAAUUAAGUUUAUAUUGAGGGUUAAUGUUGUUAAUUUUUCCUUUGGAAUAAAUUUCAUUUUGUAAUCACCUGCUACCAGUUCUAUAUAUGUUAAAUGGCAACAUCUUUAAAUGAUUUAUGUAAAUUUAAUUUCUUGUAUCUCGAUUGGAAUUAUAUAUACCGAUUAUUAUAUAAAUAUAUUUAAAAUUAAUCUACGUUUGAAGCUCAAUGCCAUGCCCAAGAUGUGGGUUUGAGUCAUAGAAAUUAUUAUUAAUUGUGUGAGAGUUAGUAUUAAAAGAAAUUGGACUUAAUAUAUCAUUCAGUAUAUGAGUUUGACAGUUUUUUCUAAUGUGCCAUUUGUGUUAUAUUUUUAUCUUUAAUACUUGUAUUUGACAAAAGUUAUAUAUUUUAGUACAAAAAAAACGGUGUUAACUUUUUAAUAUUUAAUUUGGAUUUUAGGGUUGUUGUGAGGAAAGGUAAUAGCUAAUAUUAUUAAGAGUGAGCUUGGAUGGGCGAUUAGGUGCGGUGCGUUUAGUUUACUUUUUGUCUCACGCUACAGAAUCGCUACAGUAUCUAAUCUCACCGCCACCGCUGUUUUUACACUAACAGCAGGUAAACGCACCGCCCAUCCAAACUCAUCCUAAGUUUAAAUUUUCAUGAUUUUGUUAAUACAAUAGAUUUAGUGUUAAUUGUAAAUUUGUUUAAUUUUAUGUUCAAUUUGUCAAAUAAAGUCCGAUAGAUGUGAUUUAAUUCGAGUUUUAAGAUAGUUUUGAUGAAAAUUAAUUCCUAAUAUUAUUAGAUAAAUUAUGAAUUUUCAUUAAAUCAACUUUAAAACUCGAAUUAAACACUAAAAAUUACCAUUGUUAUCUUUAGGCACUAAAAUGUAUAACUUUUGUCAAAUAUAGAUAUCAUAUUGGACAAAAAAUAAUAUAAGUACCAUAUUAAGAAAAUAUUGCCAAACUUAUAUACCAAAUUAUGCAUUAAGUCGAAAACCUAAUAUAUGUUUCAAGUAGAGGUGAUCAUGGGCCGGGUCGGAUUUGGGUCGGGUCCAGUUAAAAUUUUAGGCCCGUUUUCUAGGCUCGGGCCUGGCCCGACCCGAAAUAUGGGCCUAAAAUUUUGUUCAAUCCCAACCCGAAAGAAAAUUGCUAAGUCCAAGCCCGGCCCAGCCCAUAUUAAAUUUUACAACACCAAAAAAGUAUAUAUUUAAUAUAUAUAUUUGAUUAAAAAGUAUAUUUGAUUAAAAAUAAAAAUAUAUAUAUUUAACACAUAAUUCGGGCCGGGACGAGUCAGGCCCGGGCCAAAAAAGUUUUACCUGAGGCCCGGCCUAUUUUUUAAACGGGCCUCGUUUUUUUGCCCAAACCCAUAUUUCGGACCUAUAUUUUUACCCGAACCCUCCUAUUUUUCGGGCGGGUCGUCGAGCCGGGCCAGGUAACCUAACCCAUGAUCAUCUCUAGUUUCAAGAUUUAAAAAAGAAAUUCGAAUAAUCAAUCUAAUUUUUAUAUUUUUUUAUUAGCCCAAUGAUUCAAUUAAACAUCCAAAAGUCAAGUUAUGAAGUUUGAUUCAAAAAUGGGAGAAUUUAAAAAAUAAUGAUAAUAAAUAUAGUAAUCUUAGAAUAUAAGCUUAGACAAAUAUAAUAGUCACAUUUGUCUAAUAUGUUUUUAUUCUUCCACCCUUAAAUAGGAGGAUAAUAUGCUUCAACGCACUUGAACUCAUGUCCUCCUGUAUAAGCAACAAUAUUGAUGUCAAUCAAGCUAAGACUCAAUCAGUAUAUAUGACUUAUGUUUACGGUAACAUAUUAACAUUUAAAAAAUUGUCUUGAUUUAAAAUUUUAAUUAAAAAGAUUAUAGAAUUAUUAAUUAUUAAAUUAAGAAUAGCAUGCCUAAAAAGGGAUUUGGAUUAACUAUUUACAAAUAGGAUAAAUUUCAUAGUUUGUUACUCAACUUUCAAAAGUUUUUAUUUUGGACAUUGAAUUUUUUUUUUCAUUUUAGACAUCGUCAUUAAAAACCUUUUUCGUUUUAGGAAAUGUUAUUAAAACUAUUUUUAUUUUGAUCACCCGUUGUUAAUUCAAUGUUAUUAUACAUUUAUUUUAGUCAUUCAACUUUGAUAAGUUUUCAUUUUUUCCACUUAUUUUAUCUUUUUAAUUGUUUUAGAAUUAAUUUUUUUAGUAAAAGGGAAAACCUGGGUUUAUAGGAAAAAAAUAGAUUUUUACAUAGAAAAAUCAUUUACCUUUUUAAUUUUAGUGGCAGUGGUGGAUUGUUCAAGGCAUCAAUCUUCAUCGCUGCUUGCAAGAUAACCUAAGAUUGUCAGACGGUUUGCAUCUCCAUAUCGGCUGAGACAACUACUUCCCCCCUUGGAGUGACUAGAAUAGAAAGUUCAGAAGAGAGGUAAGAAACAAGAGGUAUCGAUGUUGUCUGGGUUACCUCCGGUUAUGAUGUGCUUUGGGAAGUGAGCAUUUCCCUGUUUUCACCAUCAUCCCUCUGAACCUAGGGAUUGGAUGUCCCCUCACCAGUUGAUUGUCGUGAUUGUUGUUGCUUUUCAUACUCUCCAACAGAUGUGAUCUUUACACAGGCCAUGGUCAGAGAACUUGAGAUUUCUUACAGAGAGAGUUAAGGUUUUGUGAAAGAACCAAGAACUUGGAAACAAGAAGGAUGGUAAGGCCUUCAGGGAAUUUAGAGAUUCAAAAUCAACAGCAAAAAUCCCAAAGGAUAUGAUUGGGCAUUUAUAGCAAGUUGUCAUUUCCCAAAAUAUUAAUGUUACCUUCAAAAAAAAACUUGGAGCCAAAAACAAUAUUUUAUUAGCCUCCAAAAUUUCAGCGAAUAAAUAUCAACAUAAUUAUCACAAAAUACACCAAAAUGGCAUAUAACAUAGUCGUGUGGAUGCCUUCCAAAAGAGUCAUCCCCUUCAAGCUUGAUGUACCCCAACUGAGCUUCUCAAGCUCUCAAACCUAUUUGAAAUUAAGGAUUUGGUGAACAUAUUAGUUAACUGGUCUUUAGCGGACACAUACCUUAGCUCAACAGACUCAUUCUCAACCAACUCUUGAAUAAAUAGGUGUCUGAUAUCAAUUUGCUUUGUUCUUGAAUGCUACACAAGAUUCUUUGAAAUGUUUAUUGCAUUAAUGUUGUCACAAUAGGUCGUGACAAUAGAUAAUGCAACCCCAAAAUCCUCCAUCAUCUGCCUCAUCCACAGAAAUUGAGCACAAAAACUGUAAGUAGCAAUGUACCCUACUUAAGCUGUUGAGAGAGAUCAAUCCUUGCUUUCUGCUAUACUAAGAGACAAGAUUGCUUCCCAAGUAAAAACAUAAUCUAGAUGUGCUUUUAUGAUCAUUUAUAUUCCCAACCCAAUCAGAAUCAAUGUAUCCUACUAAGCAUAAUGCACUUUAUUUAGUAAACCAAAUGUCAAGAUCAAAUGUACCAUGAACGUAUCUAAUGGUUCAUUUGGCUGCCUUGACUUGGGAUUCUUGUGGAUUGGCCUGGUAUCUGGCACGAACACUAAAGCACAAAUCAGGACAACUGGCUGUGAGAUAUAGAAGACUGGCAAUCAUGCUUCUGAAUGUGGUUAGGGAACUGGGCACUCCCUCAACAUCUGUGCACGGUUUCUCAUUGACAAACAUUGGUGUCCCGGUUGGCUUAGAGUUCUCAAGUUCGAGCUUCAUCACAAGAUUUCUUGCAUAUUUCUCAUGUGAUAAGAAUGUCUUAUCUUCCAAUUACAUGAUUUGUAAUCCAAGGAAAUAUGAUAGCUCUCCUACCAUGCUCAUUUUGAACUCACUUUGAACUCACUUUGCAUGAUCUUCACAAAGGAAUCCUUAGCAACAGUUGAUGUAGUACCAAAUAUUAUGUCACCCACAUAAAUUUGGGUCAUGGUUGUAGUCCCUCUAUGCCUUUGAAUGAACAAUGUCUUGUCCACAAAACCUCUCUGAAAACCUUGACAAAUCAAGUAUUGAGACAGUCUCUUGUACCAAGCUUGAGGAGCUUGUUUCAGUCCAUCUAGUGCUUUACUUAGUUUGUAAACAUGAUUUGGGUUAGUAGGAUCCUCGAACCCUUUAGGUUGAGCUACAUACAUCUCGUCAUUUAGAAAUUCAUUCAAGAAGGCACUCUUAACAUCCAUUUGAUACAACUUGAUGUUAAGAUGUGCAGCUACAAAAAGCAAUAAUCUGAUAGCCUCAAGUCUAGCAACAGGUGCAUAAGUUUCUUCAAAAUCAAUAUCUUGGAUUUGUUACAAGUGAUAUUUUCCUGCUCAUCUGUUCUGUUUUUGAAGAUCCACUUUGUACCAAUUAUGUUGCAAUCAGUGGGCCUUGGCACCAGCUCUCAAACCUCAUAUCUCUCAAAUUGUUGUAACUCCGCUUGCAUGGCCUGAAUAUAUAUAUUUAUUAAGAAAGAUAAAAUUUACUCAAUUGUAAAUAUAAUAAUAAACAAUAAAAUAUAUUUUCUUCAAUUCAUAUACAUAUCAUAUAAUAAUAAAUUUUACACACAGUAAGCUCUUUAAUUAUUUUAUAUAAAAUAACUCUAAUAAUAUAUAUAAUUCAUGCUUUUUAUAAGAUAAAUCUAAAUUGUGUUGUCAUCCUUUAAAACUAAAAUGAAUUAUUACAUUUGAAAUUAAAAUAUUUAUAUCUUACUGUAGUAGGCCCAAUUUGUCCGGGCCCAAAACUAAAUAAAUAAAACCAAAAAAUAAAAGAGUCCAAGUCCAAAUUAUUACAAACUCAAAUAAAAACCCUAAGCCCAAUUAAUAGGCCCACAACCUAAACUCAUUCUCAGAACCCUAAUGUCCCAUAUGCGUCGCACCCCCCUCCUCGUGCCUCCGUAGCUCGCUCGCCACCCGAAGCCUGACAUGCGUCUGCGGCUUUGCACAAAAAUGGCAAGAGUUAGCCUUUCAACGUCCGUUGACCUUGCCUGCAAAAAAAAAGACAGAAACGAAAGCAAGCAAAACAGCAAGAGAAACAGCAGCGAAAAGUAGCAAACAGUAACAUAGACCAACAAUGUAAUCGUGGCUAUAAAAGCCACGAAAAUAACCAUGUACUGCUACAGACAAUCAAAUACAAAAAAAGAAGUUGGAAACAGAUUCGAAAGAAAACGAAGGUGCUUUAUUUUUAUAUAUUUUUAUUUCAAAAUAAAUAGAAUAAUAAAUAAAAAAAAGAAAUAUGUUACCUUUAAUGCCGCUGACGGAGAUUUCUCCAGUCUUGAGGGUGGCUGGGUCAAUGGGCUCGUCGCAAACCCCACCGACGGUGACGGGGAGCCGAAAGGCCCUUGAGUUUUAUCAUUUCUUUUCUUCUUUUCCAGACUUUCGGAGGUCCUUCGGGCCAUUUUAACCCCAAAUCUGUGCUCCACUCGAAAAGAGGAGCAAAAAGGGGUGGUUUUGGCAUUCCUGGCCACCGCGAACGGCAGCGCCAUCGCCAGUGACCAGCGACCGGUACGGUGGCCAACGGCCGGAACCCUAGGCUGGAGAAAAGGGAAAAUUUGAGAGAAAAGGGAGUAUUUUUUAUUAUUUUUUUUAAAAUAGGAGAGAAAUGAGUUUUUUUUUAAUUUGGCUUAAAUAGCCUAAAUAAAACGACGUCAUUCUGAUUUUUAGGUUAAGAGGAAAAAACGACAUCGUUUUGACCUCUAACCCGUGACCUGACCUAGUUGCCUUCAGGAUCCGCGUGUUUCUGCGGUGAAAGGGGUAUUGGCGCACAGGGUCAUUCCGCUUUUGCGCCGUAAUGCAAUUUGGUCCCUGCUGUUCUUUAUAUUUUGGCCGCAUAAUUUUCUGAUUGGUUCAUUUUAGUCUGCGCUGAAACGCUGCGCAUGAGGGCUGGGAAUAUUUUCCCAGUCAGUCCCUUAUUCCUCGAACGUGUUCUAUUUUGGUCCCUAGUAGCGUUCUUUUUUAUUAUUAUGAUUUUUACCCCGAAUUUCAUUCCGAUUUCAGUAUAAUCCUUAGCUUGUUUAACUUCAUUUUUUUGUUAUUUUUAAAAAAAAAAGGUUUUAUUUAAUAUUUAAUUUAUUUAUUUAUUUACUUACUUUCAAUUUUUAAUCUAACUUAUAUUAGUUUUUUUAUUUAUCUAUUAUUUUUUAUUGGCUUGUUUAUUUUAUUUUUGCCAUUAUUAGUGCUAUUUUAUUCAAUUAUUUAUUUAGUUGCUAUUUUUCAGAUACUUUCAAAUUUAGACUUAUUAUUAUUGUGGUUAUUGUUGUUGUUGUUAUUGUUAUUAUUAUAUUGUCAUUUGCAUCAUUAUUCUUGUUUAUGCAUGUUAACAUUAGGAUUCAUUAGUAUCAAUGCUAUAUAUAUGUUAUAUUUUAUUAUGCGUAUUAUGUCAUUGUUAUUUUAAAUGUAUGUUGCAUUAUCAUCAUUAGCCGUGUAUGACCCCUUUUUAUGUCUUAAACGAUUUCUUUUUAAACAUAAUCAAAAUUGCACAUAUAUCAUUUUUAAAUAUUUCAUUAGUUUUCAUUUAAAUUUGUAAAAAAGGGGAAAAUCUUGAAAACAAAGGCAAUACUUCGUAUUUUGGAGAUUUGAGAAAUCGUACCCUAAUUUACGGGGUCUCGAUCUUUUCGUUGAACCUAAAUAGCCAAAUAUUCGUUUCAAAAUUGAAAUACAAUACCAUUUUUUAAAAGGCAAGCUUAUUCUCGAGGGCUCAAAGUAUCGCGUCCUAACUUACGGUAUAUGAUAUUUUGUUAUCUUGAGACGAGAGAGUCUCUAAUAAUCAUUUCGAUUUAUUCAAGCAUUUUUCUAAAAAAAUUUUUUGAAAAAGGAGGAAUCGUAUUUUUAAUUCUUUCCAAACUUUCGACAUUCGACACUAAGACACUAAUUAAUCAGCUAGGUACCAAUUUUGGGCGUUACAAGGGUGCUAAUCCUUCCUCGUACAUAACCGACUCCCGAACCCAUCUUUUUGAAUUUCAUGAACCAAAAUCGUUGUUUUAAUAAAUAAAAUCAUUUAUUAAAACAACCAUUUUUCGAGGUGACCCGAUCACACCUCAUUAAAAAGGAUUGGUAGUGACUCCCAUGUUCGUUUUCGUUUUCAAAACCAAAGUCGACCCUUUUACAAAAAAAUUGUUUCGACAGCUUGGCGACUCCACUAGGGAACUAAAAAUAAGAGAGUCAAGCCACGUGUUGAUUACUUUUUGUCUUUUUGUCAAAAAUUGAAAACUUGGUUUAAAUUUACGAUCAUUUUGUUGCAUUUCAUUUGUUUUUGUUACGAUCUUCAUCAUUUUGGUUUAUAAUCACUUUACUGGUUUGAAUUUUUGACAUGUUCCUGCACAUUGCAUUACAUGACCGCUCGAUUAUACCCUUUUAAGUGAGAGUGAGAAACUACUCCUUCGUGAGGUUUUCACCUCCGCAUGGGAUAGUGAAUCGCUUUCAGGAUAUAUACGUACCUAUGUCUUCGUGAGAUUUUCAUCUCCGCAUGGCCAUAGGGAAAUGUAUUCCCCUAAACUGAACUUGGUCCAUAUGAGCCUAUAAUGGGUGAGGAUCGAGGAAUCUGCCAGUUUAGGUACCUUUACUUUAGAACCAAACCGCAUAUAGUAAGCCCUAAGAGCCUACCCUAGGUAGAAUCGCACCAAACCCGUAGUGGUCAUCCAAAUAGGUACUCUUUUUUUUACUUAUUUUUUUUUGUAUUGACGUGUUUUCUUGUGCUUUGGUUAUGAUUGCAUUGAGUUUUCAUCAUAGAAAGAGGUGUUGAUUCAUGUUCAGUUGUUAAAUAGUGAGCUUGUCAUGGAAAAUAGAUUUCUUAAUAAAGUGGGAGACAAUGCGGUCUUCUGAAUAUGGUCCGAAAAAAUGUAAUAAGGGAAGGGUGAUAGUCUGAUGAAUGAAUACACGACUUUACUUUGUUGCCCGUGGAUUCAAGCUGAAAAAGAUUAUUCAAGAGCCGUCAACGUCUCAGCUUUCUUAAAGAAGCUAACGAGCCUCACGAGGAUGAGUGAACAAAGGGUCGUGACUUAGAUCAAGCAAAAUGAAUAUAGAAGAGGCACCCCUUUGAAGAGCUCGCGAGAUUCGAUCUUAACAUAUGGAUAUCAAUGCCUUCACUUUGAGUAUUAGGACAAGGCCGUAUAUGUAACUAUUCAUUUUAUGUAAAGAGAUUUGUUUUCUAGUAAAGUUGUUCUAAUAGAAUUGAAUUGGAAUCAAUGUCGCUUUUUGUAUUCAUUCCAUUCAUCUGCAUUACAUUUCAUUGCAUGCAUUAAAUUUCACAAAAUGACCCUAAUUAAUCAAAAUUGUUACAAUUACCCUGGAAACUAACGAAAAUCCACAAACUAAAUAUCGCUACGGUACCUACCGCAAAACCAAAGCAAUGGAUUAAAUAUUGGAAUUAUUAGAACAAAUGCAAAGAGAUAUGCAGGCGCAGCUGCAAGAGCAAUUAGCAAAAGUUCAACCAGACAUAAGGGAUCAGAUGCUAGAAUCUCAAAAAAGUAUGAUGAGCCAAGUAACGAAGUUACUAGCCGGAGGGCUUGAAAAAGGGAAAGGCCUAGUGGUUAAAAGUGGGGAGGAUAAUGAAAAUCUUGCUUAUCCCCCAGGUUUUACCCUGAUAGGUGUCCACGCCCAACCAGACGCGCAUCCACAAGGGGCACCCAUUAUUAUAACACCCAACAAUAUCAGACCGAUACCUCGACACCAAUGAAUUACCUGACAGGUUCAAGUUCCAAUCCGGGGAACAAUCCAACCAAUCAUGUAGUUCCUGAUCUAGACGAAAUGACAGAAAUAGAAAAAACAAAGUUGGAACUGCCAAAACAACUCAAAGAUCGAUACAGGAGGUUGGAGGAAAAACUCAGAGCAAUGGAAAACGCUGAUUACCAUUGCGGGGUUGACGCCAAGGAUCUGAGUUUUGUCCCAGAUCUAGUACUCCCACUGAAAUUCAAGACUCCAGAAUUUGAAAAGUGUAAUGGGACUAGUUGUUCUGAAGCUCACAUCACAAUGUUCUGCCGAAGAAUGACGGGAUACGUUAAUAAUGAUCAACUAUUAAUUCAUUGCUUCCAAGAUAGUCUGAUUGGGUCGGCUGCCAAAUGGUACAACCAACUGAUCUGUACCAAAAUUCACUCAUGGAAGGACUUGGCAUAGGCUUUCAUGAAGCAAUAUGACCAUGUGAUAGACAUGGCGCCCGACAGAAUCACACUGUAGAAUAUGAAAAAAAGCAAAGUGAGAGAUUCAGACAAUAUGCCCAAAGAUGGUGAGAGGUAGCAACACAAGUCCAGUCACCUCUUUUAGAGAAAGAAACCAUGAUGCUUUUCAUCAACAUUCUGAAAGCCCCAUUCAUUAACCACAUGUUGGCAAACACUACCAUGAGCUUCUCAGAUAUGGUAAUGUUCGGCGAGAUGAUUGAAAACGCGGUAAGAAGUGAGAAGAUAGAUGCGGGGGAAAGUGUCAAAAGAUCAACCCAAAAGAACAAGGAAAAUGAAGUGAGUAACCUGAGCAUGUAUAAUAAAGGGUAUUUCAAAUCGGUUACUAUAGGCCAGCCGAGAACCAUAACCACUAGCUAUCAAGGCCCUUCAAGGCAAUAAUCCAACUCAAAGCCAAGCAUAGAAUAACUCCAGUUCUCACCCAUCCUGAUGACAUAUAGAGAGUUGUAUCAUAAUCUAUUUGAUGCACAUGUGGUAUCCCCGUUCUAUAUGGAACCCGUGCAACCUCCGUUUCUGAAAUGGUAUGAUGCAAAUACCAAUGCGAAUACCACACAGGAAUAACAGGACACUCAAUUGAAAACUGCACUACAUUUAAAAAGUUAGUUGAAAGGUUCAUCAAGAUGGGCAUCGUGAAGUUUGACGAUCCAUCAAAACCUAACGUGGCAGAAAAUCUGUUACCCAGUCAUCCAGACCUAGGGGUAAACGCGAUAAUUGAAAAUAGAGGAAAGAGAACCAAAAUUAAUGUUGCAGAAGUAAAAACCCCACUGAAAUGGGUUUUGAAACAAAUGAUAGACAUGUGAUUAAUCAGUCAGAAUUCGGAAAAGAGACCAAAAGGGAUGAGGUGCUACUGUGAGUUCCACGCUGAAGAAGGUCAUGAAAUCCAGGAGUGCGCUGAAUUCAAAGCUUUGGUAUAGAGCCUAAUGGAUAAUAAAGAGUUGGAAUUCCUUGAAGAAGUCAAAGGCCCAGGAAUAUGAAUAUUAAUGUCGUAUUCGAAAAGAGAGUCGGGAAAGAGAAUUUAUCAGAGAAUAUUUUGAACAAUGGGACUGUAGAAAAUAUCAUUGUAUGUUUUAGACCUAAUUCGGAGUAAUGUCCAAAACACGCUUAUUACUCUAAGCCUAGGAGUAAUAAGAAUCAUUUUGUGUGAUAGGCUUAUGUCCAACAUUUUUAUUUCAAUAAAAUGUAUUUUUUACAUUUUUAUUUCAAUAAAAUAUAUUUUUUUACUUACUUCGAGCAAAUAUUUUUUUAUUGUUUCCAUUUCAUUCAUAAUUAUACUAUAUAGAUAAAUAUCCUUAGAUUCUUUUGUUCUUUGGAUCUUUAUUUGUCUCUAUAACAGGUUUCCAGAUAUCAAUGAUAUGAGCGACACUGCUAUUGACUCAGAAUAUCCUUUUGAGCAAGAUAGGUGUCCAGAGAAAUCUCAAGACUUUGAAAAUAACCGAUACUGUAGCUUAUCUCCUGAUUUGUUAAGGAUGGUAGAAUAAGAUGAGAAACAGAUCCUACCUUACAAAGAAUUAAUAGAACCCAUGGCUUUUAUCUAUGUGGGGCAGGGAUGUCAUUGGGUCAAUCUCACCAGAAGCUUCUGGCAGUAAUCGAUUCAUCUUUGUAGUCGUUGAUUACUUCACUAAGUGGGUGGAAGCUGCUUCAUAUGCCAAUGUCACAAAGUCAACAGUCAGCAAAUUCUUGAAAAAAGAAAUCAUAUGUCGGCAUGGAAUGCCAUGAAGGAUUAUAUCCAACAAUGCACUAAAUUUGAAGAACAGGACGAUAUCAAAAAUUUGUAGUCUGUUCAAGAUUAACACCAUAUCGCCCCAAAGCGAACGAUGCAAUGGAGGUAAAAAAAAACCUCAACUGGGGCAACACCUUUCUCUUUGGCUUAUCGUGGUUUUGCCCAUUAAAGUCGAGAUUUCUUCUCUCUGAGUUUUUUUGAAUCCAAUCCUGAUUGAAGAUAAUGGUUCAAAAUUAUCCGUCAUGGUCAAAUGAACCAAAAAUAAAUGAUGCAAGCUCACCAAAAUGGUUUACCUUAGAGAAUUCCAUGAGGGGGACUUGGUAUUGAAGCAUAUCCUUCCCAUACAAAAGGACUUCAAAACAAAGUGGAUGUCAAAUUGGGAAGGACCUUAUGUGGAAGGCCUUAUCUGGAAAAGCGUCGAUAUUGACCAAGAUGGAUGGCAAGAACCUGCCUAAUCCUGUGAAUUCUAAUUCAAGCAAGAAAUACUUCACUUUAAAAAAAGAAAAGAAAAGAAAAGAAAAUGAAAAUGAAAGGCCAAUGUGAAAAUCCGCAAAUGGCACUUUGAGACCAAAGGGGUUUUGAAUUGAAAACCCAGGAAUAGGCAAUUCAAGUUUUUAAUCAAAGGUGGGGCAUGUGGUAGUCUUGUCCUCUCUAAAUUAAUAAGAAGGAGUGAUGCUAUAUCUUAGGUCAUCGUCAAAGUCUUCUAGGACUUCUAAACACGUAUCAAGUUCAAAGGGUCCUCGAGAAAUUAUGUGCAGAGAAGCUCAUGCUACGAUAUCUGUGGCACCUAUUUUUAUCUUAUUCAUUUCGUAUCUUAGCAAAAUUUUUUAUCUUGAUUAAUUUAUUCAUUUCGAGCUUUGCUCUCAAUAAAAUUUCAUCUUGUCCAUUGCGAUAAUCUUUUUCAAGCAUUUUUCAUUGAAAUAAUAAUUAAUGGACUGAUAAUAUUCAAACAAAAAGAGUUCUGCAUAUUACUCUGAAAGCUUCUAAAUAGUACGAGGACCUGAAACAUGAUUAUUAUUUAGAAUUAACCAAACCUAAGGGUUGGAAACAUUUGGAAAGAAUAGUUUAAAUUGUAACUAUUUCUUCAGGUUUUCUGUCAAAGAUACCAGCUGAGCAAGAAGGCAGCGUAAUACGUCAGUGAUAGAACCUUGAUAAACAACGAGCAAUGACAACCUAAGCAUUAAAAGAGGAUCAUUCUCAAAAAAUGACAAUCUGUAUUCAUGCAAAUAUCAUUCAUACACACCUAGUUAGGAGCAUUUGAUUCAUUCUGAUCAUGACAUCCUAAUCACUAGACAUAAAUAGGUCCAUGAAAUGGAUUCUACAAGUCAUGUUCCCCAGAGAAAAGAUCAGCGAAACCACAAAUCCUGUAUCCCUGAAGUUGCAGUGGGAUGGAUUGAAGUCAUUAUGGCAGAUCUUAUCUUCCUGAAGUUGUAGUGAAGCAAAUUGAAGCCACCAGCCUUAUCUCCCUAAAGCUGCAGCGGAGUAGAUUGAAGAUAGCGAAUCUUAUUUCCCUGGUGUUGCAGUGGAACAGAUUAAAACUAAAAGUUAUAGCGAAUCUUAUCUUCCUGAAGUUGCAGUGGAGCAGAUUGAAGCCACUAGCCUUAUCUCCCUGAACUUGCAGCGGAGCAGACUAAAGAUAGCGAAUCUUAUUUCCCUGGCAUUGUAGUGGAACAGAUUAAAACUACAAGUUAUGGCGAAUUUUAUCUUUCUGAAGUUGCAGCGGAACAGAUUGAAGAUAGCAAAUCUUAUUUUUUGGCAUUGCAGUGGAGCAGAUUGAAGCCACCAGCCUUAUCUCCCUGAAGUUGCAACGAAGAAGAUUGAAAACAGCGAAUUUUAUUUCCCUAGUGUUGUAGUGGAACAGAUUAAAGCUACAAAUUAUGGCAGAUCUUAUCUUCUUGAAGUUGCAGUGGAGCAGAUUGAAGCCACCAGCCUUAUCUCUUAGAAGAUGCAGUGGGUUGGAAUAAGGCUACUUGAAGAGGAUGAGCACCAAGAAGUCAAGAUUCGGCGAGACUGGGUAAAAUUGGUCCUUCUUAAAAGUCUUUACUCCAUUCUCGUUACACAACAACGAGCAAAGAGGGGCAGCUGUAGCAGGCCCAAUUUGCUCGAGCCCAAAACUAAAUAAAUAAAACAAAAAAAUAAGAGUCCAAGUCCAAAUUAUUACAAACCCAAAAUAAAAACCCUAAGUCCAAUUAAUAGGCCCACAACCUAAACUCAUUCUCAGAACCCUAAUGUCCCAUGUACGCCGUACCCCCCUCCUCGUACCUCUACAGCUCGCUCACCGCCCGAAGCCUGACAUGCAUCUAUGGCUUUGCACCAAAAUGGCAAAAGUUAGCCUUUCAACGUCUGUUGACCUUGUCUGCAAAAAAAAAGAUAGAAAUGAAAGCAAGCAAAACAGCAAAAGAAACAACAGAGAAAAGUAUCAAACAGUAACAUAGACCGACAGGAAAAUAACCAUGUAAUGUUACAGACAAUCAAAUACAAAAAAAGAAGAAGUUGGAAACAGAUUCGAAAGAAAACGAAGGUGCUUUAUUUUUAUAUAUUUUUAUUUCAAAAUAAAUAGAUUAAUAAAAAAGAAAUAUAUUACCUUUAACGCUGCGGACGGAGGUUUCUCCGGUCUUGAGGGUGGCUAGAUCAGUGGGCUCGCCGCCAACCCCACCGACGAUGACGGGGAGCCGAAAGGCCCUUGAGUUUUAUCCUUUCUUUUCUUUUUUUCCAGACUUUCGGAGGUCUUUCGGGCCAUUUUAACCCCAAAUUCGAGCUCUACUCGAAGAGAGAAGCAAAAAGGGGUGGUUUUGGCAUUUUCGGCCACCACGAACGGUGGCGCCGUCACAGGUGACCGGCGAUCGGUACGGUGGCCAACGGUAGGAACCCUAGGCCGGAGAAAAGGGGAAAUUUGAGAGAAAAUGGCGUAUUUUCGAUUUUUUUUAAAAUAGGAGAGAAAUGAGUUUUUUUUUAAAAAAAAUUGGCUUAAAUAGCCUAAAUAAAAUGCACCGUUUUGAUUUUUAGGUUAAGAGGCAAAAACGACGCCGUGUUGACCUCUAACCCGUGACCCGACUUAGUUGCCUUCAGGAUCCGUGUGUUUCUGCGGUAAAGGGGAUAUUUCCGCACGGGGUCCCUCCGCUUUUACGCCGUAAUGCAAUCCGGUCCCUGUUGUUCUUUAUAUUUUGGCCGCAUAAUUUUCUUCUUGUUUCAUUUUAGUCCGCGUUGAAAUGCUGCGCAUGAGGGCUGGGAAUAUUUUCCCAGUCAGUCCCUCAUUCUUCGAGCGUGUUCUAUUUUGGUCCCUGGCAGCGUUCUUUUUUAUUAUUAUAAUUUUUACCCCGAAUUUCAUUCCGAUUUCAGUAUAAUCCUUAGCCUGUUUAACUUCAAUUUUUUGUUAUUUAAAAAAAGGUUUUAUUUAAUAUUUCAUUUAAUAUUUUAUUUAUUUACUUACUUUCAAUUUUUAAUCUAACUUAUAUUAGUUUUUUUAUUUUAUCUAUUAUUUUUUUAUUGGCUUGUUUAUUUUAUUUUUUCCAUUAUUAGUGCUAUUUUAUUCAAUUAUUUAUUUAGUUGCUAUUUUUCAGAUACUUUCAAAUUUAGACUUAUUAUUAUUGUGGUUAUUGUUGUUGUUAUAAUUGUUAUUAUUAUAUUGUCAUUUGCAUCAUUAUUCUUGUUUAUGCAUGUUAACAUUAGGAUUCGUUAGUAUCAAUGUUAUAUAUAUGUUAUAUUUUAUUAUGCGUAUUAUGUCAUGUUAUUUUAAAUGUAUGUUGCAUUAUCAUCAUUAGCCGUGUAUAACCCCUUUUUAUGUCUUAAACGAUUUCUUUUUAAACAUAAUCAAAAUAGCACAUAUAUCAUUUUUAAAUAUUUCAUUAGUUUUCAUCUAAAUUCAUAAAAAAGGGGAAAAUCUUGAAAACAAUGGCAAUACUUCGUAUUUUGGAGAUUUGAGAAAUCGUACCUUAACUUACGAGGUCUCGAUCUUCUCGUUGAACCUAAAUAACCAAACAUCCGUUUCAAAAUUGAAAUACAAGACCGUUUUUUAAAAGGCAAGCUUAUUCUCGAGGGCUCAAAGUAUCACGUCCUAACUUACGGGAUAUGAUAUUUUGUUAUCUCAAGAUGAGAGAGUCUCUAACAAUCGUUUCGAUUUAUUCAAGCAUUUUUCUAAAAAUUGUUUUUUUUAAAGGAGGAAUCGUAUUUUUAAUUCUUUCCAAACUUUUGACAUUCGACACUAAGACGCUAAUUAAUCAACUAGGUACCAAUUUUGGGCAUUACGAGGGUGCUAAUCCUUCCUCGUACAUAACCAACUCCCGAACCCAUUUUUCUGAAUUUCGUGGACCAAAAUCGUUGUUUUAAUAAAUCAAAUCGUUUAUUAAAAUAACCAUUUUUCGAGGUAACUCGAUCACACCUCAUUAAAAAGGAUUGGUGGCGACUCCCAUAUUCGUUUUCAUUUUCAAAACUAAAGUCAACCCUUUUACAAAAAAAUGGUUUCGACACUUACAAAAUUCAAUUUUAUUUGAUUUUGUUAAAGCCUACUCGGUACAAUCUGAACCUGAAUCUAAAAAAAUCUUAGCCUAAUCUGAAGAAAGCCCAACCGAAUCUACCUAUUUGCCACCUCUAAUUGAAAUCUAAUUCAACUCAUAUUAUAAUCAAAUUUAAUUUUUUUACCAAUUGCAUUUUUUUGGUCUAAUAUUUUAUUUAAAUCUUUUCAAAUAUUGAAUUUACCUUCAAGCUUCAACAACUCAAUUACUCGACUUUUAAAUAAGUUUAAUAAAAAAUAUUGAAUUAUUUAAAGAUCUAAUUCAGUAUUAAUAUCAAUUGAAAAUUUAAACACAAGUUCAAUGUAACCCUUUUUAUGGGGAUGUUAUGACAUUUUCCUUUCGAAUGACUAAUCUUUUAUUUUAAUGGGCCAUACACGCCAUAGCCUAACUUAAAUGAAUAAUGUAAGUGAAAAAGAUGUUUAUUCAUCGCAAAUCAAUCUAUACUAAAAUAUAAUUCACUUUCAAACACUGAUUGUGCUCUAGUUAUUAAAAGUAUUUAUGGUAACAUUAGAGAGGAUUCAAAUAGAGAUUUGGUGAUGCAAAUUUAAAAACUGCAUAGACACGAGUGGAGAGUGGUCAUUAAGCAAAUACCAAGAGAGGUGAAUUGUGACUAUGAUGUUUUAGCUGACUUGAUGAAAAGUUUUCCAAUUGGUGUUCGAAUUUUUCAUGUUGCUCCUUCAUUGAUUGAUGAUCAGAUACGGUUAAACAGACGUUUUCUAUUAUCGAUAAUUGAUUUUUCUUUUUAUUUUGUUGCCAAAAAAAAUAAGAAAUUAAACAAAUGGUAUUCACUUUAAUUUCUAAUUUCUAACCGGCCUUACCUAAACUUAGGCAAGAAAACUUUUCCUUAAAAACUUGAACAAAUAAACCACCAAUUUUUUCCCUUAAGAGACACCAAACGUUUCAAAGUUUUUCUAACCUACUUUCAAUUCUUCUUGCAAGCUUCCCGUAACCUAAAAAAUAGCUUAUUUGCAGCUGUUUUAUACAAAUUAAUUAAGUAACUGGAAUUGAGAGUUCUAAAGUUUUCUAGCUUCUAAGGGAUGAACAAGAAAUUACAGGCUUGCUAAGUAGAAAAUUGUGGUUCAACCCAUAUUUGUGUGACUUCUGAGCUAAUUUUGCAAAUAAAAAUGGUGGGUUAUAUCAAUUUUUAUCAAAUAAUGAUGUUUGAGUUUUAUAAUAAUAAAAUUGAAAAUUGCAAUUCUAAUUUUCUCCAAUACUUUUUUUUUUCUUUUUUUCAAAGUUAGUAUAAAGACAUGACUAGGUAUCAAUAUUGAUUUUUUUUCCUCAUCAUCAGAAUUAACUAUUAUAAGUACUAAAUUCAAAUUAAUAUGUUCACAUAUGAUUUACACAAGUGAGACUCGUACUAUAAUACUUAAGAUUUCAAGAUUUCAAGAUUUCAAGAUUUCAACCUUAUCAUUCGAUUAUAUUUAAAUUUUAAUACGUCAAUUUAUUACAAAAAUAUUUUUUUUUGAAAACCAUGUAAAAUUUAGAGGUAAUCGUAUAUAUAUAAGUAAUUGUUUAUAAAACCUUUCUAACAAGUUUACUUCUUCGCAUUAUAUAUUUUAUGAAAUAAAUUUUUGGAUGAUUAUUCAAUAAAGUGGCAAAGAGAUUUUUAAUUUCAUAAGUGAGUAAAAAAAAUUUGUGGUUUUAAUUUAUAUUUAAAAAUAAAAUAUAAAAAAUAUAUAUGAUGAUUUUCUUUAAUCUCACUAAAAUCAUUAUGUGGAUAUAUCAAAUAAUAAUCCAUAAAAUUUUAUCAUUUAUAGAUUAAUGUGCUUAAAAGUUAAUGUGUGAAAUAAUUAUAUACAUACAAAUAUAUAUAGGGGAAGCCAAAAAGAUUUUUGGAGAGUCAAAAUUAAAUUAUAAUUUUUUUGAGAUAAAAUUAUAAAAUUAUCAAUAUAUUAAUUUAAAAUUUUAAUGUUUUAAGCGGGAUUGAAUGUGAUUAUAAAUUUUACCAUCGUAUUAAAUUAAAAUUUUAUAUUUUUUAAUGAGAUUAAGCUAUAAAUUUAUCAUUCUAUAUAUAUAUAUAUGGGGAGAUGUAUGACAUUUUUGUGUAUUAAAAAAUUCCAUUUCUUCUUCAAUACUCAAACUAAGCUAUCAAAUAUUCAAUACAUCCCUUUUUGUUUUUUUUAAAUAUUUGGUAAACUGUUGUAGAGUUUUUAAAUCCCACAGAUUAACAGAUGUUCUAUAAAGAUAUAGUAAAAUAUUAAAAUAAAUAUUUUAAAAUUAUUUGUAGAAUAAAAAAUAUACUGCUAAUAUACUAAAUACUCAUCCUUAAUUAAAACACAUCAUAACAACAACUCAAUAUAAAAAUAUAAAAAAAAAUAUUAUGAGAAAGACAAACUAUAGAUUAACCCAUUAAAUAUUGGUUGGGCCAAGAGUUGAAACAAACCCUAACUUAUAGUAACUAUAAACACCAUAGAUGGGGAUAUGUUGAUGUUGGAAUUAUAUAUUUAUAUUUAUAAGAAGAUCAUUGUAAUAACUAACAAAUGCAAUUAAUUGGAUUUAUUAAAAGAAGUUAGAGAACAUCCCACCAAACAUUUUGACUGCCAAUAACACUGACAAAGACAUGUGGAUGUGUUAGAAUGAAAACCUGUUGAUGCUGGAAUUAUGUUAUUUAUAUCAAUUUAUUUUUUGGUUAUAUAUAGAAAAGGGAUAUAUAUGGUGGAAGUACAGCAAUCAAAUCAAUUUUGAUAAUAAUAAAAAAGUAAUUUAAUUAAUUUGAAUCUAAUUAGAUUCAAUUUUUAAUUAUAAAUUAUUCGAAUAAAUAACUUUAAAUUACUUGAAUUCAUGAUAGUUCGAUCUAAAAUUUUAAUUAAUAAAUUUGAAUAAUCAAAACUCAAUUAUAAAUUAACUCGAAGCAAAAUAUUUAUACUUGAAAUUACUUAAAAUAAUUCAAACCUAAUAUACAAUUACGACAUGAUUAAGAUAGGAUUAGACAUGUUAAAAGGAGAUUGUCAUAGCUAGACAUACAGAGUGGGUCCCUACCCUUUUAGGUUCUCUAACUGUUGGGUUUCUCAGCAAAGAUUUGAUCAAUGGUAGGCUAAUGGGUUAAGGACUUGGGGGCAUAUUUGGUAAACAACAUUAUCCAUUGAAAUUUAAUCUAAAAAUUUUAAUUUAAUAAGUUAAACAAUCCUUUAUUUUUUUUUUCCGAAACAGGAUAUCUAUCGCUAGAUGUAGUGAUUAAUACUUUUGCCGCAAGUGUGUUUUAAAGAAAUAAACAACUAACUAGGAAGUGUACUUCAUUCCGAUGAACAAGGAUCGAAAGUAAACUAAAUUGGAAUAGUGAAUAAAGAAAUUUGAAUCUAUGUUAGUAUUAUGAAUUAAAAUAAUAUAUAUUCAAGAGUUAAAAAUUUGUAUUCACUUUGAAUAAUGAUUAUAAUUUUUGAAUUUGUAAUAUCUAAAUUUGCAAAUAGCAUAUUUAAUAACAAUAUGUUAAUUUGAAAGUAAUUGCUAAGUAACAAGUUUCAGCAAAAGUGCUUGCAGAAGUUGGUACUUCUCCAAGCACAAAGAUAGCACAAAAUAAAACAGGGGACAAUAAAGUUUGUUUAUGUAGUUUUGUUUCCCUAUGUUUGCAGAGCUUAGUUCGAAGAGAAAUAUCUACUAUCUUUAACACUUACAACUAGUCUUAAAUCUAUCAUACCCUAGUGACAAUUUCCUCACUUUUGUAUCCUUUAAGACCAAUACUCUCCCCAUUAAAUUUACCCCUGUGAACUUAGCUUGUAAAACCACAACACAACAGUUUUACAAUCAAUCGCACUCACACAAAUAAUGUGCCUUACUUGAACAAUUAAAUGAUCUCUAUAUUCCAUACAUAAACCUAUACAAGUAUAUCAAUUGUAUAAAACUUUUCAAGAUUUACUAACAUAAUAAAGAUAUAUACCAAUCCCUAUUAUACAACAAAUUAACUAGUUGAAGACAAUAUAAUAACAAACAAUGUAAACAAAGACUCUUGGCAGCUAAGAAUUCAAUGUUCUAAUCUAAUCCAAUAUUCUCUCUCCAAGGGAUUAGAUAGGCAUGACCCAAUCCGAUCUGACCCACCAAAUAUGCUUCUCAAAGGGAUUAGACAACCACAUCUAGGGGCAUUCAAAUUUUGGUUAAAAUUGAAUUAACCAACUAAACCGAUCUAAUUUGGUUAAUAGGUCAAUUAAUCGAUCUAAUUCAGUCGAAGAUUAGCUAUUGAUUUUUUUGGAAGUUUGGUGAUGGUCACUAAACUAACUAUAAUUACAACAAAGGCAAGCGCACCUAUCAAACAAUAGUAUAGUUAUGGUGAAUAGGGAAUAUCGUAUCCACGAGGACUAAAAGUACUAGUAAUUACCGUUUUUUAUAUUAUUUAGCUGAUAAAUUGAAGUGAUGGUUUUUAAUCUAAAUUUACUAAUCUAAUUUAACUAUGAAUGUAAUACAGAAUGAAAUGGAAAAAUAAUCGAGGACAACCAAUGAGAAACACAAUACCCAGGAAAGAAUUCACCUAGACUUUGCCUAUUAUUCUGAAUCUGAAUUAAACGAUUUAUUCACUUGUGCCUUGAUCCGUAGAAAUCCCUAAAUUAUGUUAAUAUCUCUUUUGAGAGUAAGAACAACUGACUCUAGCACUACACCAAAUUAGGGAUAUAGCAGCGUUUGGACAAAAAACGCCACUAAAAAUCGAGCAUUAGCGGCAUUUUACGAAAAACGCCAUUAAAUAUCGAGCAUUAGCGGCGUUAAAUAAAAAACGCCGCUAAAACCAAGCAUUAGCGGCGUUUUACAAAAAGCGCCGCAAUAGAGGAAACCCAGAACGACGCCGUUUUCAGAUAUUUGGGAACAUUAGCGGCGUUUUUGAGUAUGCGCCGCUAAUGUAUCGGUCUUUCGCGCCGGUUUUGGACAAGCGCCACUAAUACUCCGUUCUUCAGCGGUGUUUUAAGGCAAGCAUCAGUAAAGUACCGGUCUUUUAGCGGCGUUUUUGUGUAUGCGCCGCAAAUGGUCUUAUCUUUGGCGGCAUUUUUUUUCAUUCACUGCAAAUGAUGCGGUCUAUAACGGCGUUUUUUAUAAAGCGUCGCUGAUGCUCUGGUCUAAAGCAGCGUUUUUGAAAAAGCGCCGCUAAUGCUGGUAUGUAUAGCGGCAUUUUUGGAGAAGUGCCGCUAAUGUUCAGGUCUAUAGCGGCGUUUGUGUAAAAGCGCCGGUAAUGCGUCGGUCUAUAGCACCGGUUGAUUAAUUGAAAUCUCUUUCAAAUUAAAACCCCAUUGUCGCAUUAACUCGAUCUAUGGAUUUCUCUGAGUGCUCCUUUAGAUCUUCUUCUAAUUGAUAUUUAUAGACAUUAGAAUGCUCAAAAAGCCUAAAAUUUUGGUUUUUCCACGUGUUUGGGAAACAGUGAGCGAUAUCGACAUGGGCUGGCACAUGGGCGUGUGGCCAACCUGUGUCAUUCACACGGGUGUGUGGUCAACCCGUGUGGAAAUGCUCAGGCCGUGUGGGUCCUGGAAAUAGCUCCAUUCGUCCGAUUUUGGCUCGUUUUUCUCUCCUUUCGCUCUCAAAUGCUCUCCUAAGUAUAGAAACAUGAAUUUAAAGGAUUAGGAGCAUCAAAUUCACUAAUUUACAUCAUUAAUCAUCCAAAAAUGUAUUAAGAAUGGGAUUAAAAUAUGUUACUUUUACAGCUUAUCAUUUGGUUAUCAGUUAAUUUAGUUCGAAAUCUGGUAAUUAACCGAAUUAACCGAAUUAACCGAACUUAAUAAUUAAUAAUACAAAUUAUAUGUAGUCUUAAUUCGGUUAAUUUGAUUAAUUCGAUCAAAUGAACAUUAUCAAUUUAUUUAUUAUUUAUAUGUUUUAUACUUAUUUUAACCCAAAAAACAAAAACAUAAAAUUUUCGGUUAAUUCGGUUAACCAACCAAAUUAACCAAAAUAUUUCAGCUCAAUUAAUUUUUUUUGAAAAAAUUUCGGUUCGGUUAAUGGUUAAAAGAUUAAAAAUUUUAGUUAAUUCGAUUAAUACUAGUUCGGUUCGGUUAAUUAAACAGUUAACCGCUUAAAUACUCCUAACCACAUCACCAAUUUUAGUGGGGGAAUUAACUGAGGAGUCGAGAUUUUUAAAUAAAAAUAAAAUAAAAUGACUCACUAUCUUAAAAUUAAAAUAUAAAAACUAAAUUUAAAAUUUUUAAAUAGUAAACCAAGAAAUAAUUAUAUACAAAAACUAUCCCCUUCAAAUCCACUACUUUAAAAACUAUCAACUUAGAAAAAACUAACUACAAAUAUAAUAUUUUUCAUUAAUGCAAAUAUAAUUUUUCACCCACCGAGUGGGUGCCAAUAUAUCUAAUAUGUGAAAACUUUAAUCAAUAUUUUAACAAUUUGAUGGAUAAUUGAAUUAAUCAGAUUACAAUUGAUUUGACUAAUUCACUCGUCAAUUUAAUAAUAAUUAAUUAAUUAAGCUUAAAAAUCUAAUUUUUUUUUUCUAAAUUGUAAGCUCAAUUCAACUGUCAAAUUUUUAUUUUUAUUUUAAUUUUUUUUUUCUUAGACGGUUCGCUCAAAAUCGACUAAAUUGAUAAAUAAACCAGUAUUAUCAACCUGAAUUUAUUACUUUAUUGACGAAAAAAAGAAAAAGAUAAAUGGCGUGCGGCAAUAGUGGAGGGUGACAAUACCCCCAAAAUGGAGAAGACACCAAAAACCAUUCAAUGGAGAAAGAAAUUGCUUGGUUCCUUCCCAUGCAAACAAUACGUAGUGACCAUCCAUCCAUACAUAUAUAUGUAUAUAUAUAAUAAAUAAUACCCGUACUUUCUUUUGCACAUUAUUAUAUCAAAUAAAAAACCCUCAAGUAACCUAAUUAAAGUUAAACCGAUGGUCGCAGUCUCCAUUAAUUUAAGCUUCAAAACAAGCUUUUUCGUCAUUAAAUUUUGACCCAAGUUGGUGAAGUUAAGUAAUCAAUAUUCGUAUAUUAACGUGGCGUAUAAUCCUCUAUUCUUUGCGCAUAUAUAUAUAUAAGAGAAAGUAGUUGUGAAGCUGAUAAACUGCCUUGUUCUUGCAUUAGAGAAUAGUCAAUCCAAACCAUAACUCUGUAGCCUUAAAUUCUCACAGUCCCUUUCAUUUUCUCUCAAAUCAAGGGGAAAAAUUAAAUAAAACCCAAGUUUUUGUUUUGAUAUUUUGUAUGCAAAAGAUGGUUAUGGAGAACUCAAUUGUUUCUGAGUUUGAAGGGAUUCUUUUGAAAGACUCGGACCCUUUCUCCUACUUCAUGUUGGUUGCAUUCGAAGCCUCGGGUUUAAUCCGGUUCGCUUUGUUGCUGUUAUGUUGGCCGGUGAUUCGGUUUCUCGAUGCGUUGGGCAUGGGUGAUGCGGGGUUGAAGUUGAUGGUCUUUGUUGCAACGGCGGGGCUUCGGGUGUUGGAGAUUGAAUCGGUGUCUAGAGCUGUUUUGCCUAAGUUUUUUAUGGAUGAUAUUGAUAUGGAGGCUUGGAGAGUGUUUAGUAGGUAUGAUAAAAGAGUUGUGGUGACGAAAAUGCCUAGGAUUAUGGUGGAAAGGUUCGUGAAAGAGCAUUUACGAGCCGAUGAGGUUGUUGGAAGUGAACUUGUGGUGAACCGAUUCGGAUUUGCUACAGGUUUAGUUAAUAGUGAUAUCGGUUUUAUCUCGAGUAAAGUCGCCAAGUUGUUCGUAGACGAUGAGCCUAGUUUAGGACUUAGAAGAGCUACGUCAAGCUUUCAAUUCUUCUCCAUAUGCAAGGUAAGAAGUUUCAUGCAAUGUGUUUAAAUCCAUGGCAUUUUAUAUUUUUUAAAUAAUUUGAUCCUAACCAUUAGAUUAUUGACAUGCAGAAACAAAUGCACUCACCAUUUAUCACCGACGAAAAUUGCGACGACCACCAACUCCUUCGUCCAGUACCCGUAAUCUUUCAUGACGGUCGUCUCGUGAUGCGGCCAACACCUUCGACCGCUCUAUUAAUCCUCUCAUGGAUGCCAUUGGGCAUAUUACUAGCAAUCAUUCGAAUUAUUAUCGGUGUAAUGCUUCCGCUGCGAAUCAUCCCCUAUGUGACCCCUUUAUUUGGCGGAAAAAUCAUUGUCAAAGGCAAACCACCAUCACCCAUCUCUGGUAGCAGCUCUGGCGUCCUAUUCGUUUGCACUCAUAGAACUUUAAUGGACCCUGUGGUCUUAUCCACUGUCCUCAUGAGAAAAAUCCCAGCAGUCACAUAUUCCAUAUCGAGAUUAUCUGAAAUCCUAUCACCUAUACCGACGGUAAGAUUAACGAGAAUCAGAGAAGUCGAUGCCCAAAAAAUUAAACACGAACUAUCCAAAGUUGACUUAGUAGUUUGCCCUGAAGGUACAACAUGCAGAGAACCCUUUCUAUUAAGGUUCAGUGGUCUAUUUGCCGAAUUAACGGACCGAAUAGUCCCGGUCGCCAUGAACUAUAGGGUAGGGUUUUUCCACGCAACCACAGCCGGCGGGUGGAAAGCUUUGGACCCGAUCUUCUUCUUCAUGAACCCUAGACCUGUUUACGAAGUGACAUUCUUGAACCAGUUGCCGGCGGAAGCUACGUGUUCGUCAGGUAAAAGCCCGCAUGACGUCGCUAAUUACGUGCAAAGAAUCUUGGCCGCUACGUUAGGGUUUGAGUGCACAAAUUUUACAAGGAAAGAUAAAUACAGAGUAUUGGCUGGGAAUGACGGAACAGUUUCAUGCACUUCUCUUGUUGAUCAAGUUAAGAAGGUGGUGAGCACAUUUAAACCUUUUCUUCAAUGAAAGAAAAAAAAAUAUUUUUUUGUUAAUUUAUAGGAAUAAAUUUAAUUAAUUGUGUUUUUUGGGGUUGUAAAUUAUUGAAUUUGUUUUUUUUUAAUGGAAUUGUUGAAUAACUUGUAAGGAUGAUUGAUGUUAAUUAAGUUUAUAUUUGUGGUUAAUGUUGUUGAUUGUUCCAUUGGAAUAAAUUUCAUAUUAAGAAUUUUAUUUUGUUGUUGUAAAUUGUAAUCACCUUCUACAUGUUCUAUAUAUGUUAAAUGGCAAUUAAACAUGUUCAAAGAGUCAAGUUACAAUUUAUCUGUUUAAGCUCAAAAUUUUGUUGAAACAAAAAUAUUAAUUUAACCAUUAGAGGAAGAAGAUUGAAGACGACGAGAGUUGGUCAUUCUCACGUCUAUUGCGUUUCUCUUUAUUCUUCCACGCACGGAAGCUUGGGAUGGUCCAAAGUGUAGGUUGCACCACAAUUUUAAGAGUUAAUAGCAACACACAUCCCCAAAUCAUGAUUUUCAUUUUAAAUUGGUUUUUAAAUUUCAAACUGUUCUAAUUACAUUCAUAAACUAUUGAUGUCAUAUCAAUCAGGUUCUUCCAGUGGCAAAUCUAGAAAAAUUUUUAGUAUGGGACGAAAUUUUAAUUAUAACUUUUUCAUAGAUCAAAAUAUAAGUUUAGUACGUAUUAAUUUAUAAUGUCAUUAUUUUUGAAGGGGCUAAACUUUUUUUUUAUUUUUAGGGAGAUAAAGUACAAUUUUACUAUAUAUUAAUUUAUUAUUUAUUUUAAGAGGAUUGAAUUGAAUUUUUUUAUUUUAUUUUUGAGGGUCAAAGUGCAAGUGUGGCUCAGAGCUUCAACAAAGGCUCUUUUCUGAUAAUUUUCAAGUUUGAUUAUCUUCUAAUCUAUGUUGUCAUUUGAGAUUGCAGGAUCGUGUAGUUACUUGGUCAUCCCUUUUUGGAUUUAUAGUCUGGCGCAUCUGGAAGAAUAGAAAUCUUUUUAUCUUCCAGAAUGUUACAUGGUCAACAACAGAAGUUGUUAAAGUCUACUUAGUUUGGGCUCAACAAUUCGAAUUUCAUCAUAAUGGAUACAAGAGCAAUACUCUGAGUCCAAGUCAUAAUUCUCAUGCCAAUAGUACGUGAGUUUACUUAUUCACGGAUGGCGCAGUUGCAAGAGAUACGGGGAACACUUCUGCCGGAGGUAUACUACGGGAUCAACUUGGAAACUAGACUCUAGGAUUUAAUCGGUAGUUGGGCAAAUGUUCACCUUUUGAGGUAGAAUUAUGGGGCAUCCUGGAUGGGCUCCUUGUUAUGCUUAAUAAAGGAUAUAGACGGGCAACAAUUCAGACUGAUAAUCUUGAUGUGGUCCAGGCUUUAACUGAUAUUAGGUUGGAGAUUCAGGUAUCACCUUACUUAGGAGGCUUCAUCGAAUUAUGAUAUCCAAAAGGCGAUGGCAAAUCAAAUAUGUGACUGAAGAACACAAAAUAGUCGCGGAUCGAUUGGCCAAACUUAGCCUAACGUGAAAGUCGAGCUUACAAGUUUUUGAUGUAGCCCGAAAUGAAAUCCUUGAGGUCUUACAACAGGAUAAAGUGUGUGGCGCUUUUAAGCAAUUGAAUUGAUGUAACUUGUCUUUUUCUUUUUGACCUAAAAAAACUUACACAAACUAAUAAAUAAUGUAUAAAUAUUAAUAAAACAAUUUUUGAAAUUAAACAUAAUAAUUAAUAAUACAUUUAAAUAUGAUUAAUUUUUAUCAAAAAAAUAUAUUUUAUUUACCAUAUUAUUCUCUUAAAUCUCAUGUAGAUUCUCUUAAAUCUUAUUCUUUUGUAUUCGUAAAUUCAAUUGAACAAUAAGAUGGAGUCAUCAGAACAUCUAGAUUUGUUAUUAUCCCUUUUAUUAUUUAAUCAAUUCAAUUAGUUAAUUUUUUAAAACAAAAAAUAAUUAAUAUUCAUAUAAUUAAAAUAAAUAUUAUGAUAUAAAUUUAUUUUGUAAUGCGACAUGAUUAUAUUUAGUACAUAUUAUAUUAGAUAAAAUAAUAUAAAUAAAUGUUUAAGGACAUAUAAUAUAUUAAUUCAAGUAUAAUUAACUUAUGAAUGUAAAAUAAUUAUUAUAACAUUAUGAUAUUACAAUGUAAAUUGCAACCUAAUCUCUAAAUAUGUAAUUAAAUCAACUAGACUUACUCUUACAGAUAAGAUUUUUUUUUUACUCCCCAAUUCUAAUUUCAAAUAAGUCGCUCUUCCUCAUUUGUUUCACUUUUCUUACCUUCUUUAUUAGUGAAGCUAUGAAGGGGAUUCUUCAUAAAUCUCUUUUGCCAAUUAAUAAUACGCCCAACUUAUAUGAUUAAUUGCACUUAAUUUUGAUAAAUACUUGAAUGAGAUGUCAUUAAUUUUUUAAUUAUAUACAAAAGAAAAACCUGGAAAGUCAAAAAAAGUAAGAGAUGCGGGAUGUUGUAAAAAUUUUGGGCCAAAGAACAAAGUUGAUAGACAAAGAUCUAUUUUGGGAUUUAUUUGUAAAAAUAAUAUUUUAAUUUUUAGUAUUUUAUCUUUUAAUAUUUUUAAAUAAUUCUUAAAUACUAGAUUAAAUUAUAAGAUUAGAGUUUUAUAUUUUUAAUAUAUACUAAUAUAUAUGCGUAGGAGAGGGGGAGAGUACUUUUGAACGGAGAUUUCAAUUACUAUUUGAAUUGCCGUUCCGUUUCUUUUUCAACUUUUCUUUUUUAUAUUAUUAUUUUAUUUGUUACUUAUAAAAAAAAUCU
rnacentral:lncRNA from 1 species